GCAGGUGAUGCAUAGCACAGGAAAUUGUUGGUAGCUUGAAGAAUGGGUUGUAGCAGGUUGUCUUUGAUUUUACCUCUUCUGCUUCUGACAUUUUCAUCCAUGAUAAUUCACUCCAGGGUUGCAGAGGCUCGUCUCCUACUAAAACACCUCUUUCCACCGCAUUCUCAAGAUGGUUUACCGGUUUUUGAUUUUGGCUUAAUCCCAAGUUCCACAUCGGUGGAUUCAUUGUUUGGAAAGGAGGUUUGAAGAUUAUAAAUUAAACUCUCCUUCUUCACUGUCAUAUAUCCCAAUUUGUAAUAUCUUUUUCCAUAAUAAUAAAAGUGAAUUGUUUUCGUUGUGCUCGUAGAUUAGGUUAAAUUGACCGAAUUCCGUUAACAAUUUUUUAGUGUAUUUUUUCUCUUUAUCUCUUUUAUUAUUCUGCUCUGUUUAUUCAAUAUUAUUUGUCGGAUAGCUCUGUAAGGAUUCUGUUUUAUGAAAAAAUUAGCCGUUUUUCCCAACGUGCCACUCCCAGAUAUCCCCAACCUCCUCCCACAUCCCAAGAUAACAGUUGCAGGCGUCAAAAUAAUCCCAUGACACUUCCUCAAACUGUUUCUUCUUCUUCCACUCCCAAGCUGCUUCUCUUUUAUGUUUCCUUCAAUUACAUGUAAUCUUCAGUUCAUAUGUUGUUUCAGUCAGUUUGGUUGAAGCUGUGAUUUGUAAGAUUGUAUCAGACUUCUUGUCUUCUACUUCAAUGAAUUCUGUAAUUUCUUUCUCGUACAAAUCUUCCAUUUCUGAAUACUUUCACAGUUGUGGAGGCACAAGUUUCUUUCAAUAUCUCCUAAUUAUGCUAUUUUUUUAGCUCCGUCUGUUUUCUCUUUCGUAGGAUUCAUUCACCCUCUACAGACAUUCUUUUUGUCAUCAUGGCUACUAAUUUUCAUCAUUCUUUACAAAUUCCAACUAAAAUUAUAUUCUUACAUCGAUUCUUCUAAGAUAUAUACACAUCCAAUAUUCUUACCUUAAAACUACAAAUUAAUUUGAUGUGAUCUGAAUGACUAAUUAUGUUAUUAUUAGUAAAUGGAAGACUCAAAUCUCUUACUUAGUCUUAACUGUAUCUGAUGCUGAAAAUCAUAUUUGAACUAAAAUUAAAAUAUUUCAUAAUAUAUAAAAAAUACAAACUUUAUUAUAAAUUGGUUGUUUUAUAAAUUUAAGUGUGGCUGGAAACAAUUUGGAGCCAGACAUCUCUACUAACAGUAGGUUUUGCAACAACCUAAGAUUUUGAGAUAUGGAAAUCAAGAUAUAUGUGUUCACAAAGCCUUUCCAAGAACACACAUUACAUUCUAUCUUUUAAGAUAUUUAAAGUGCAAGAAUUUAAAACAAUAAUGUUUAUGUAAAAUAAAUUUAUAUAGGAAGUGUACUCUUUUUUUUUUCUCAUGAAAGGAAUAUAGUUUAUUUUAUUAGAGAGUUUUUUUUAUAUUUUAUGCUGUUAUUUUGGGUAUGUAAUUAUUUUUUAUAAUCAUCUUAUCUUUGGUGUUUGGUAUUUUUUUUUAAUAAUGAUGUUUCCUAUUGUAUUAUGUGUGUAUAGGGGUUGGAAUAUUCUUUAAAUACUUAAAAUAAUUCAUUUAUUCUUAGUAAAAAAAAUAUAAGAACUAUACUUAGCCACAAUCAUACACUAAAAUUAAAUAAUAAAGAUAAUGAUUAAAUAUUCUUAAUAUAACUAAUGAUUAAAUAAUAUUAAUAAUAAUUUUUUUAAAGCCUUCUUAUCUUAACCAUCAUAAUUUGAGAAAGACCUAUAAGAAAUACACAUUUAAUCUUUUAUAUCUUAUACUCUAAUAUUUCUUUGAUUUGAGUGUAGAAUUAUCUUCUAUUUUCGACCAAUAUCUUGAAAGUUCAAUCUAGAGCGCUAAUCUUAACAGAAAUAAAUUGUUAUGAAUUAUUCGUCGUAAUAACAUAACAACAUAACGUAGAAAAUUAUAUAAAAACUGGUAAAGUGUACAAGUUAUAGGAAUGUUAUCUGCAUAGAGAUUCAAAUACUUUUUUUUUUUAAAUUAGUGUUUAUAAAAUUUUACUUUUAGUUUAUAAUAUUUUAAAAAAUAAUAUAUUUUUAAGGUAUUUUCGGUCAUGAUGAAUAUGAAAAAGAUACUCUAACAUUUAAGUAAGUACUCUCUGUAAAUAAUGUAUACUGUAUUGAUUAAGGCGUAUUUUGCACUUAUGUAAAUGAUUUAUUUAUAGUGUUUAGUUAUAAUCUCUUGUUGUGAUGAGUCGAAUCAAUUAAAUAUCAGUUGCUAAUUGAUUUAUAACAUGAUUCAUAAUUUAUAGAGAUGUAUAUUGGUAUGUUAGUAUAUUAGUAUAUUGAUGUUAUCUUAGGACAUAAUCAUAAUUCGUAAAGAGUUUUCAUAAUUAUCAUUGUUGUCAUAAUUCAUAAGAAGUUUGGUCGGUUAUUUUAUAUAAUUUAUAAAGAUUAAAGAUGAGAUAAAUAAAAUAAAGAUUAAAUUUAAAAAAAGUAAAACAUAAUUCUGGUUACCCAAUGUCGCUAUCUGUGUAGCAGAGUCGAAGAUGUUAUGCAUGUGGGUGAUUUGGCAGGGACAAAGAAACUUUUCUCAAAACAAAAUGAAAGAAGGACCAAUUGUACGGUGGGAAAAUGAUACGUGAGUUUGGAAUUACAAGGAGGCCUUUUUCAUUGAACUGAAAAAAAAAAUGUAGUCAUGGUAUUUGGUUCACUUUAGUUGGAAGGUGUUUCUUGGUUGAACGUUGAUAAGGCGCUAGCUAUUUAUGUAUAAGGGUUGGAUCACUCCUAAAAUGGUUUCCAUUUAUUUAUUUUUUAUUGUUGAUAAAAAAAAUGGUAUUAAAAAGAAUUUAUACUUAGUUUAACUGUGAAUACCUAUCCUAAUAGAAGGCAAUAAUGGGUAUCCAUGUGCAGCAUGAAUUUUAAUAAUCUAUACAUGGGACAUGUUAUUUCUGAUUUCAUUGUUUUUCAUAGAAAAAGCACAAUUUUUUUCAUAUCAACGUAACCUUAAUUAUCUUUUUCUCAACUCUUGUGAACUUAACCUUCAAAGAUGGCAUCUCAGGUAAAAAAAAACAUGUAUUUUCAGGACAUGUGUUUUUAUCGUAUUUCAAUGGAUAGUAGAUUGACAAUAAUUUAACUGUGGCUGGAAACAAUUUGGAGCCAGACAUUUCUACUAACAGUAGGUUUUGCAACAACCUAAGAUUUUGAGUUGGAAAUCAAAAUAUACCUGUUCACAAAGCCUUCCAAGAACACACAUUACAUUUGAUCUUUUAAGAUAUUUAAAGUGUUAUUACAGGAGUUUAAAACAAUAAUGUUUAUGUAAAACAAAUUUAUAUAAGAAGUGUACCUUUGGUUCUGAUGAAAAGAAAGAUAGUUUAUCCAAAAAGAGGUCCUUUUUUUGUGCCCUAAAUUGUUAUUUUGUGUAUGUAAUUACUUUAUCUUUAUAGGAGACAGGUGUUUGGUGUUUUUUUUUUAUUUAUAGAAAAUGAUAUUUCUUGCAUUGUAUUUUGUGUGUAUAGAGUUGAGUAUUUCUUAAAUACUUAAAAUAAUUUAUUUAUUCUUAGUUGGUAAGAAAAAAAAGUAAAAACUAUACUUAUACACUAAAAUCGAAUAUUAAAUAAUAAAAUAAUGAUUAAAUAUUCUUAAUAUAACUAAUGAUUAAAUAAUAUUUAUAAUAACUACUUUAAAACCUUCUUAUUUUAACCAUAAUAAUUUGAUCAAUAGGAUUGGAACACUCUGAAAUAUUUUCCUUAAUUAUAUUUAUUUUUUAUUGAUAAAAAAAAUAUCAUAAUUUAAAAAAGACCUACAAAUAUAAGAAAUACAUAUUUAAUCUUUAAUAUUUCAUACACUAAUAUUUCUUUGAAUUGAGUGUAGAAUUCUCUUCUAUCUUCUACCAAUAUCUUAAGAGCGCUUAUACUAAGAGAAAUCAAUUAUUAUGAAUUAUUCGUCUUAAAUAACAUAACAACAUAAAGUAGAAAACUUAUAUAAAAGCUGGUAAAGUAUAUAAGUUAUAGGAAUGUUAUCUGCAUAGAUAUUCAAAUCAUUUUUUUUAAUUAGUGUUUAUAAAAUUUUAUUUUUAGUCUAUAUAUGUUGCGGUUAAUAAAGUUUCAAAUUACUUAAAAGUUAAAGUUGGAACAGUUUAAAUACAUAUUAUUAUUGGAGUGUUUUUUAAGAACAAUAUUUUUUUAUCGACAAUGAUAAAAUUAUAAUGGAAUACCAACCUUUAAAACAAUAUCUAAAAAUUAAGGUUGGAAUAUUGAUGUCAUCUAUCUAUCCCUAAAGAGAUAUUAAAGAAUACGGAUACCCAGAGUUAUAGAAGGAUCCUAAUAUUAAUUGAGUGUCUUUACUAAUUAUCAGUUGUUUCUCUUUAUAAAGGAGAAUAAUUGGGUGUCUUUUCUAAUUAUCAAAACAAUCAAUGACUGCUGAUUUUAGUGUGUAUUUUGGGAAUUCUCUCAUAUUUUGGGAAUUAAAGAAGCAAGGAACAAUAUCAAAAAGUUCUUGUGAAGCUGAAUACAUGUGAAAUUCAAUGGCUAACUUAUCUUCUUCAAGAUUUUAAAGUUCUUUUUGAGCAAUCAUCUCUUUUAUAUUGUGACAAUGACUCAGCAAGAUACAUUGCAGCAAAUCCAGUGUUUUACGAACGUACAAAACAUAUAGAAAUAGAUUGUCAGGUGGUCCGGAAAAAAUUAAAGAAGGGUCUCAUCCAUCUACUUCCUAUUUCCACCACAGAGCAACUGAAUAAUAUUUAUACCCUAAAGCUUUAAGUCCUCAACCUUUGUAAAGGAGAAUAAUUGGAUGUCUUUUCUAAUUAUCUUUAUCUACUUGUAUAUAUUCAGACCAUUUGUUUUGAUUUUAAUAAUAAGAAAGAAGAGAUAUUCAUUCUCAUAUCUUUAUUUUCAGUUUAUUCUUUUGUUCAUCUCGGUUAUAUUUUUUAAUAAGAGAAACUAAAACAACUAUUUUAUAUAAUUUGUAGAGAUUAAAGAAGAGAUAAAUAAAAUAAAGAUUAAAUUUUAAAAAAGUAAAACAUAAUUCUGGUAAGGUAGUGUCGCUAUCUGUGUAGCAGAGACGAAGAUGUUAAGCAUGUGGUUCCGUUUUACAAAAACAAAAGAAAGAAGGACCAAUUGUACGGUUGGAAAAUGAUACGUGAAUUUGGAAUUAUAAAGAGGCCUCUUUAAUUGAAAUGAAAAAAAAAGUACGAAUUUGAGGUGCCACAUUUCUUUUCUAUAAUAACAUUUACAACUAUAUAUUGAACUUCUUAGACUGAGAAUGAAAAUACAAAUAUUUAAAACUCAUAAAAAAUAAAUUAUAGUUAAUUAAAUAAAUAAAUGUUUUCUUUUAACGGAAAAUGAUAGUUAAUUAAAUAAAUAAAUGUGCAUACUAAAUUGUAAUUUCCGACAGUUUUAAACAUAAAAUUAGUACUCUCUUUUUAAUAUCAUAAAGCAAAUUUAAAUGUUUACCUUUCAGUACAGAAAUUUUGUAAAACAUUAUAUAUAUAAUUGACAAAUUAAAUUCUAUUAACACUAUUUAUUCUUCUAUUUCUGUAUUGUCUUAAAACGAAUUAUUUUUCAAAUGGUUGGUUACUAUUUCUUAAAGGAUAUUUUAAUGAAUAAUAUAAGUUACUCUACUUUAAUUUAUUUUUCAAGUAUAAUGGAUAAGAAUUCUAAAAAUACUAAUUUUAAUAAUAAAUUCCUUGUAAAAUUAAUAAUUUUAUUUGAACUUUGGAUUUAAAGAAAAUAGUAUCUAAUAUCUUUUUACUAUUUUAAAAAAAUUAUCUCUCCUUAGUUCACAUUCUGAAUCUCGUAAAAGGCAUCAUCAACAAGUUUCUCAUUCUUUAAUAAGUGUUUUGAAUCUUUAAAAUAUAUGCACUCAAUUAAAAGUUGUUGAUAGAAUUGCGGGAUUGGUCCUUGAACUUAAAGUUGCUUUUGACAAAAUAGAUAGUUGAAGUUUUUUCUUGAGUUCUAUGUCUCUUUUGUUUUAUAUGAGAAUUUGACAACCCUUAAAAUGGAUCACAUUUAUUUUAUUUUUUUGUUGCCGAUAAAAAAAAAUUAUUUUAAAAAUACAAGUAUUUACAUAAAUUUUAGUAGGUAAACUUUUAGUAGAUAUUACAGCUGGUUCCCUCCCUCUUUCAAGAAAUAUGUGUAUAUAGUAACAACAACAUUUGAACUACUUACAACUAUCGGUUUGGUUGGAGUUGAAAUCAUUAGAAAAUUAAAAUGAAUUUGAGUGAGUUUGACUGAAUCUUCAUAUUGGGUGGAGAAGUGAGUUAGAUGAACGAACUGAAUUCUUAGGUAUUCAAAGGAAGGUGAGCUAACAAAAACAUCUUCACCUUUAUAUAAGAAGCAAGCACUAUUCUUAAGCCUCUCAUACAAUCUAUCUACACACCAUUUUCAUAUACUUUCACUUCAUUCAGCUAUGGCCUCAUCAACUUCAUCACUCAUCACAUUUUUUCUUCUUUCUCUCAUCUUCUCAACCAUGGAUAUUGGUCAGGCAUCUCGCCAUCUUCUGCAAACAACAGCACCAAAUUUACCAACCAUUCCCUCUUUGCCUACAAUCCCAACACUGCCACAACCAUCUCUUCCAACCAUGCCAACUCUUCCACAGUUCACUCUUCCGCCACUUCCUGCCACUGUACUCCCCACAAUCCCAACCACUAUCCCCUCCUUUCCCUUCCUGUCACCACCACCUUCAGCCACCACCUCUCCCUGAAUGAACAAGCUACACUCCUUGGAACUUGAGUCUUCCUUUCAGUCAUCAUUAUAGCUUCAUUUCCUGUUGUUUGAUCGAUAUACUGAUCAUGAUAUUAUACAUUUUUCCCUGUAUGUGUGCGUGUGUAUUUUAUCUUUCCCUUCCUGUGUGCUUUCAUCUUGUAUACUUACCAUAAGAUUGUUGUUGUUUUUUCUUCUAUUUUGUUACUUGUUUUCUUUUCUCAAUGAAUAAUAAAUAUGAAACAAACUUUUAUGGUAUCUCAACUUUUAUAUAACAAAAAUCAACAUUAAUAUUUUAUCUUAUAUAAAGAUAAUAGAUAAAUCAUCCUAAGAAGUCUCAUUCCAAAUAACAUAAAAAAAACUAACGCAUAAAUAAUCCAAUAACAAUAACAUGAAUAAACUUUGUCAUCCACAAACUUUAAUCAAACAGACUUUAAUCAUAUGCAAACACAAAGUUCGUAACAACGAACUUAAAAAUAAUUUAUACCCACUUCUAAUCUAUUAAGAAACACUAAAGAUAUAAAAAAUAUAUAUAUAAAAAAAAAUAGAAUACAAUAACAAAUCCUUCCUUACAUAUUAAAAUAAUUCUAAUUAUCAUUGAGAGAGCAACUAUUACUCCUGUACUCAUCAUCUACAUUUAUAAGAUACAUCUUGUAAAAGAUAAUUCGCGAGUUACAUGAUAGAAAUAUAUACACACAAAACUGUUUUACCAAGUUGCAUCCAUUGGAGUUAUUUGUAUUCCAAAGGUAACAUAAUUUGAUAAAAUAUAAACACAAGGUUCAAUUUAUAUGAUGGCUUAUACAUACCUUAUUGAAAAAGUAUCAAAAACUUUAACUAAAUUGGUGAAUAGUAAGUCGAUUACAAUAUGAAUUUUUUAUAUUUUUUUUCAUAUUACAAUAAAAAAAAUAAUAAAGGGUUAAAGUUUCGGAUUUUAAUUUUACAAAUUUUUCUUUAAAAAAACAUGUGUGAUAAUUACUAAACGGAUAUUUAAUUACAUCAAUCAUUAACUAAGUUUAAAAAAUAUAAUUAAACAAAAAAAAUUGUUUUAAGAUUGUUACGCUUUUAUUGUACUAAAAACGAAAAUAUAUUAAUACUUAUUCUAUUCAACCUAUUACUUAUUUAAUAAAAUUUUACUAAGUGAAUUUUGUUAGUGUGUGUCUGUUUUGGUGAAUGAUAAGUGACAGCUUAAUGCUUACUUUUUCUUCUUAAAUUUAAUAGAUAUUUCACUACAAAUUUUUAAAUAAAAACUAAUUUAAAAUAAAAUUUUUAAAUAAAAAACUAAUUUAAAAUAAAAAAUAAUUAGUCAGUAUAUUAAUUAAAUUAAAUACUAUUUAAUCUGUUUCGAAACCUAAUUAGCAGUCCUUUAGUUACAUAAAUUAAUUUUUAUAUUUUGUAAUAAAUUUCCCAACAAUUUUUUUUAUAGAAAAAUAAAAUAAGUUUCUUGAUGAAAUACAUAUAAGUUAAAUUUUACAAAGAAGAAACAAUUGUCUCGUAUUACGAAUUAAAUAAAUAACUUAAAAGCCUUUUUCCCUAUUUUUUUUGAAUCUAUUCAUAGUAUCAAACUCCAGUAACAUACUAUGUGGGCCAAGGGUGACACCUGGAGAAAUGGGCCUAAAAUUCUUGUUGGGUCUUUCCUAUGACAGCAACAAUAGGUUUUUCUCCUUGCAACUCCGUAAUUUCUUCUCUCACCCUCAUAGUAUUAGAAAUGAUUAAGGUGUUAUUGUCUUAAUAACUCAAUCAAUUUAAAAUUAUGCUCUAAAAUAUGUAAUUCAAGUCAAAUUAAAUAAUUUAGAAUUAUCCGAAAUAUAUCUUGAAUCAAAUAAUAUGGAAUAACUACUUCUUGGAUUACAUAAUUUGAAACUAUAUCCAAAAUUACAUAAUCUUGUUUCCAAUUACGCAAUAUUAAAUAUUGUUCUGAAUCACCUAAUUAAGAAUCAUAUCUCAGACUGUGUCAUCAUGUUUUGAAUUACAUAACUUUAUUCCAAUUGUGUGAUUUUAUUCUAAAUUACCUAAUCUUAUUCUGAUUAUACAAUUCAUAAUAUUGUUCUAUAUUAUUAAACAAUCAUUUGUAUUACACAAUCUUAUUCCAAUUAUGUAAUCUUAUUUGGGAUUAUACCAUUAUAUGGUGCUCAUCAAAAGCGACAAAUGAAUUAGCUAAAGCUAAUAAAGUUAGAUGAACCAACUUUUGGGUUAAAGUCUUGUUAGAUACUAUAAAGAAAUAUACACUUUGUAUCCCUUUUUCUCUCAAUCUCCUUAUUGUUACAACAAAAUCUGAGUUUAAUAGUCAAAUGUUUUGUUCAAAUAGAGGAAGUUGAACUAACAAAAAGGAUUAGUAAGAUCCAAUUUGCUUCUACAAACAUACUUGAACUCAAACCAGUAUAUAAGAGCAAGCACCAUCCUUCUGCAUCAUACAGUCUCAAAACCAAAUCAUAUUUUGCAAUUGUUCUUCAUUACUUCUUGCAAUUAUCAGCUAUGGCUUCCACCAAAUCAUUCAUCACACCUUUUCUUCUUGCUCUGAUCUUCUCAAGCAUCAGCAUGAGCCUAGCAGCUCGCCAUCUGAUGCAAACAACAGCACCAAAUUUUGCAGGCAUUCCCUCUUUGCCUAACCCAACACUGCCACCUUUGCCUUCACUUCCAACACUUCCAUCACUUCCCACCACCAUUCCAUCACUUCCACAGCUCAACCUUCCUCCAAUGCCCUCAAUCCCCACCUUCACAAUUCCAACUACUAUGCCCUCCAUUCCAUUUCUCUCCCCACCACCUUCCACCUCCUCUCCUUAAACUUUCAUUUUCUUCAUCCUUUGCUACGUUGCAUGCAUGCAAUACAUAUCCAUGGCUUCAUUCCUUUCGUUUAUGGUGUUAUCAUAGUGAAUUUGUGACAGUGUAUUGUCUUUUCGAUUUCUGAACUUGUUGUUAUUCCUUGUACUUUUUCUUAUGUAAAAGAUUGUUACUGAUUACACAGUUAUACAACUAUGAUGUCUUUCACUUUUAAAAUCUUCCAACAUAGUUUUGUUUACAUCACUCAGAGUGUUUCACUUGAGACCUUGUAUUUUAUCUUUAAAUCACCAACCGAUUAAUAUUUGACGAAACAACGUUGCUCAAAAGAAUAGAACAGCAUUAAAAUACAUGGUUAGCUUUUGCCUCUGUAUACGAGAAAGUACUAAAGAGUUAGAGAAUAACGCACUCCUAACAUUUGAUUUCAAAUAUAAACACCGUUCUUUAAGGUGAUUUCUAGGCAAAAGCUCCAUCAAUUUUCCCCCAAAAUUUGUCAAUGUUUUUAUUUAUUAAUAAAAUAGGUAAGUCAUGAGGCAUAAUCACGACUUUGCUUCAUUAAAGUCGUCUUCCAUAAGUGCUCAUACUCACACGACUUUGACUUUAAUUAUAUGAGAUUUACAUUAAAGUCUGGUUUAUACUUAAUUUUAUUUUAAAAGUGUUUGUUUUUAUUUUUUUAAAAAUAGAAUAAUUAAUUGAAUUGUUGAAAAUUUCACAAAUUUUAUAACAUUUUUUGGUUCAUUCACUUAAGAAAAAUUUAGUUAUUUUUUAAUUAAAAAAAUUAUAAACUUAAACCAUAAACUUUAAACCUAUAAACUUUAGCAAAAAUGUCACAAUUAAAUUUUAACCCUAAAUUCAAAGGUAAAACCCUAAAUAAUAAAAUAUAAAAUUUAAACUUAAACCAUAAAUCUUAAAUCUUAAAUCUUCAAUCCUAAACCUAAAACAUAAACUAAAAGCCUAAAAUGCAAAAAUGCCUAAAAAAUACUCAAAGAAAUAAAAAAAACUAAUAAUAAAUGGUUGAUUUUUUGAAAUUUUAGUAUCACAGUCCUCUUCAACCAUUGGUCAUCGAAUUCCUUACUUCAUUUUGACCAACUUUCAUUUUUAACACGUCUUGAUCCAAUUUCUCUACCAAAAAUUAUGGCCAUUUAAUUUUUUCUUUUUAUACAAAACUUUAUAAAAUUUAUCAAAAUUUUAAUAACUCAAUUAAUUAUUCCAUUUAAAAAAUUAAAAAAAAAUUAAAAAACAUCAUUAAAAUGUGAAACUAUAUUCGACCUACCAAAACAAAUUCUUAGUCAUUUGAAAUAUUGUUAGUUUUAAAGUUCGAAACUCCUUCAUAAUUUUAUUCUUAAAAGACAUAUCAAAGAUUAAAAGAAGGUGUAUAUAAGUUGUAAUUGACCUCCUUCAAUAUCGAUAUGAUACUUUUUUUUCUACUUAAGUGUAUACUAUUGAAAUGGCCUCCUUCAAUAUGCUUCUCUCGUCUUUCUUCUUCAUUGUUUUAUCACUUAAAUGUUCAAUUUAUUGCCUGAUUUGGGAAAUUCUUCUGCUGGUAUAACUGUUCCUCCGUUUCCCCCAGCCUUCACCUUUCAUGCACUCUUCCACCUUUGUCAUCACUACCUCCCACAACUACCAAUCCUUCACUAGUAGCAUUACUAUAACAUAUACAUGCUCAACAGCAGAUAUAUAUGUAGCGAUAUCGAUGUUCCAUUGCAUUUAUGCAGUAAAAUAAAAGUUCAAGCACUAUUUUCUGUCAUAGCAUAAUAUGGCAAUUCCGUGUGAACGUUUUCUAAAACUUAUUUUGGAACCUAAGACGAUAUACAUUUAUACAUGUGCAAUAAUAACUACAACUCUUGUUGUACUCAAAAGAGGAAUGCAUGCAAGAACUUUUGAAACUUCAAAUGUUCUAAGUUUUUAAAAUUCUGAAACAAAUAAUAACAAUUUAAAAAAUGAAAAGUAAUAUUAUAAAAUAUAAUAAUAAUUUGUUGAAUAUAUUGCUUAUUUAUGUAUGUUUUGAUCAGAGAAAGUUAGAAGACAAACUAUUAGAAAAACAAUUAAAAAAAAAGUAUAUUGGGUGUAAAGGGUGACGUCUGGCAGCUGAAAUGAACUCUGUUAGAUCACCCAACUCAACCCUCAAAUAUGUAUGAGUUGUUCAUCCUACAUUUGACAAAUUGGAGACUAAAACCCAACAACCUUAUCAGUCCAACAUAAUAAAACUAUUAUUUAUUCAAAAACACGAGGAAGGUGAACGAACAAAAACAUUGGUUAGGUUCUGUUCGCUUCUCCAAACAAAGUUGAACUGAAACCAUAUUAGUUUGCCCACUGUCUCUCUAGCCCUAUAUAAGACCUUCAGCCUCUCAUAAUCUCAAACAACAUACAUACCAUUUUCAUAUUUACCAGUUUCUCUUCUUCAUUACUGCAAUCCAGUGAACCAUGGCCUCCAGCAAAUCAUUCAUCACACUUUUCCUUCUUGCUCUGACCUUCUCAGCCAUGAUGAGCAUGACCCUAGCAGCUCGCCAUCUUAUGCAAACAACUGCACCAAAUUUCCCUGGCAUUCCCUCUUUGCCUUCAAUUCCAACCCUUCCUCAGGGUAAUGUUCCACCAUUGCCCACUAUCCCAUCUCUGCCACAGCCUACCCUGCCAUCUAUGCCUACAACUUUGCCUCCACUUCCUAGCAACAUCCCUACCCUGCCAUCUAUGCCUACCACUUUGCCUCCACUUCCUAGCAACAUCCCUAACAUUCCAACAAUUCCACAGCUCAACGUUCCUCCAUUGCCCUCCAUCCCCACAUUCACAAUUCCAACUACUAUGCCCUCCAUCCCAUUCCUCUCCCCACCACCUUCCACCUCCACCCCUUAAAGUACCUUACAUUUCUUCAUCCUGGGCAAGCUCCUAUCUGAUUCUGAUUUCCUACCAGUGCCUAGUUGCAUGCAUGCUAUAGAUAUGGCCUGAUUACUUUUAUGUGAGAGUGUUGUGUGGUGUUUUCCUCCUACUUCUGUCGUAUGGUGUGAAAAACUGUAUUUUCUUUUCAAUUUAUGUAUCAGUUGUCGCUAUUGUUUCUAGUUUUUCUUGUAUUAUGGAUUACAGAUUGAGAUUGAUUACAGUUAUACAAAUUAUAAUGUCUUAUCCUUUAAUUUAAACUCUCCCAACAUCCUAAUUAGAUCUCUAACUAACUACAUUUGCAUUAUUACUAAGAGUAUUUCGCUUGAGCCCUUGGGUUUGUUUUGGUUCAAGAGAACAGAGAAUAAAGGAAGAAAAAUAUCACAUUAUUUAGUUGAUGGAGAAAGGUAAAAACAUAAAUAAUAUACCAAUAUAUUCUUAUUAUUAAGCAUAAUGAAGGAGAUGAGAUAUAAAGUAACAUAUCAAAAUUUAAUUCAUACAAUUUAUAAAAUAUAAUCAUUGUUAUCUUCCUUAAAAUCUUUCAAUAUUGAAGAAAAGACAAGAAUUGGAAGAAAAAAUAUCCAUAUUUUUUUUCUCCUGACACUCUAACUUUCAAACACCACGGAAACAAGAUGGCUAAAUGAAAGAUAGAACACCAUUAAAAUGCAUGAAGUGCAUCUAUAAGGAAGAAUCCGAAGAAUUUUUCAUUAAUAUGCUAGAAGCAAAACCGCACAGGUAAAUCUAUCUGCACUUCAUCCAACCCAAAAUUUUAAUAUACUGAACUUAAGAAAUCACCCCAGUUCUCUUAAAAAAAAUGCAGAGGCUUAAGCUAUCGGCUUCCAAUUAUUAGAUAUGAAAAAUCACAUCUCCACCACGAAAGCAAAAUACUAUUAAUCUAUGUUCAUGAAAGCCUCCAUCCUCUGAACUACAUUGAGUUUAAAGAUGUUUCUUCAAAUUUACAUUCAACUUCUUGCAAACUGAAAUCCAAAAAUACUACAAACUAUGCAUGUUGAGCAAUUUGUACAUUCUAUCCAAUGUACAACUUUUUACUACUACUUGCUCUCGAUCAAGAAGUCCCUCCCCUCCCCACAAACAAGUCAGACAUUUCGCAAACAAUCCUUGUAAUAUCAACCCCAUUCCAAUUUAACCACAAGGAAAAGAUCGCUAACUGAAUGAUAAAACGCCUUUAAGAAAAGUGGGUCAUGUCUGCAUCUAUAUCUAGUCAAAGUACGAGAGUAGUGUACUCCUAACAUUAGAUGCCAUUUAAAACCGACGUUGACGCUCUGUAACUUUACACAUAAAACACCGUUCUCGAGGUGAAUUCUUCUUCUAAGGUGCAGUAUAAAGCUCAAGGGCUGGAUCAUGUCUCAUCAUCACUAAUUCUCUCAUGCUUUUGAUAGUUUCAGACUAGCUGCUAAUAUCCAUUUUUUCCUACUUACUGAUCCCAACCAUAUACUACUGAUAUGACCCCUUUCCGUGAACUUGUCUUCCCUUUCUUCUUCAUUGUUUUAUCACUUUUAUCCAUUGGCAAUGUCCAAGCCAGUAGAAAACUUGUUGCAGCAACAUUGCCCAACAUGGGGAAUUCUCCUGUUCCCGUUAUUUAUCCUCCAUUCCCCCCAAUAACGGACUGGCCAGAGUAUAGGUUGCCUCCACCCUUCUCACCAGUUCCUCCCACACUUCCACCCUUCUCACCAGUUCCUCCCACACUUCCACCCUUCUCAUCAGUUCCUCCCACAGUACCACCCUUCUCACCAGUUCCUCCCACAAUUACCAAUCCUUGACUACCCUGUAUGUGCAAUUCUGCAGUAAAAUAAAGGUUCACAUCACAGCACUAGCUUUCAAUUCCAUCAUGAUGAUUAGUUACUUAGUUUGAUCUCCUUUGAUUGGGUGAACUAUGCCGUGUAGCACCAUGUAAUGGAGCACCAUAUAAUAUUAUUUUUCCCAUUUGCUUUGCUUUUUUUGAGUAAAAUGUCUGUUCUGUUACAUCAAAGUACGAUUUAUUUUCCUCUACCAUUUUGGUGUACCAAGGGAAAUAAUGAAGAAGGCUCAAUCAACAAUUCGCAUUCUCAAUUUAUUAGUUUAAACAAUUCCAUCCACAUUGUACAAUUAGACAUCCAUAGCUAAUCUAAAUAUACGAAAACAGCAUGGCUAACAUACUACUCCAAAACAUUGAAGACUUUGAGCCGGUAUAAUAAGCCUCAAUCAAAUUCUAGUUUCAUGAAAAAGUCAUACAUAGAACCUUUGAAUAAACAAAACUGAAUACAUAUCAGAGAUGAAAUUCAAAGUAUAUAUAUCUUAGCUGGCUUCAUAUUUGGGGUCUGCUGUGACUAAGUGAUAAGCUAUAACCAAACCAAAAAUAAAGAUGCCAAGAAAGUUGGCAAUGACUCCCAAGGCUGCAUCAUCAAUCAUAUCUCUUACUUUCUAGAUCUGGGCAAGGCAAGAAAAAAAAUAUAAAUCAAAUAAUUAAGAAACACAUGAAAUGAAUUGCUUUACAAUAAUCACCGUAAAGGAAUUGAAUUCUCCGUCAUAUUAUUCUACGAACAGAGCAAUAGAGAAAUUAAAAUAAUUAAAUAAACAAGAAAUUGUGAAUGAGAAAGUGACCUUGAGAGUGGGUGAAUGAAAUUGUUUGUUGGAUCGCGGUAAGGAAGACGCAGUUCCCCAACUAUUUAAGAAGCAAGGGUGUGUGCGUUUGUGUUGACCUAGACUUUUGGCCACAUGCAAAACGCCGUCGUUUACGACGAGAUUAAACUGUAAAAAACUUUAAUAAUGUGUGGCUGCUGGGAUUCGAGCCCAGGUCUCCACGGCCACAACGUGGAAUUCUUACCACUAAACUACAGCCACUUCUUGUUUUAUCUGAUAAAUUAUAGUAAUAGAUUAUAAAUAUUACGUUCAUGGUCUUUCGAAAUUUUUGAUAGAGGACCGUUCAUCAUUGGGAAUCAACUGAAUUGUUAUCACUGACAAGUUUGGAGAUGAUCUAGAGAUUUUAGUAAUUUAUAGCACAUAUAGAAUAUUUUGCAAUCUAGUAAAUCACAUCUUCGUCUUCAUCACUCUUUUAACUACGAGAUAUUAAGUUGUUUAUAUUGAAAUGAAUCGAUGUAAAAUAUUAAUUUAACAUCUAUUAAUUGUUAUUAUUGAUGUGAAAAUUGUAAGAUAAUGAUUUUAGUAAUGUGGUAACAAUUAUGAUGACAUUCCUUUGAGCUAUUCUUUGCGUUUUGGUGAUGAACUUGCGGAAGUCUGUGGAGGAGAUGAAGCAAAGCCUUCCAAGGAAAUAUGGAUUCCUUGAAGGUGCAUGAGAGUGAGGAAUUGGGGAGGUUCGGCCAACCCCUUUAAAGGUGAUGAAGUGAAGAUUAAAACCUAGAUACUAGGCAAAGAGUAGUGUAUGACACAAAUUUGGCAGCAUAAUAAUACUCUAUUCAAUCUUGAAAUACAUGAGGGUUGGCUCCUCUUUUUAUAGGCUAAGGAGGACCUGAAAUGAUGAGCAAAUGCAAGUCAAAUGAAAUGCAAAAGAGUAGCAGAUGGAGGCACAUGGAGCACAUGCCACAUCAAAUUUACUCUAACCAAAAUUCCGAUUGAACAAUAUUACUCUAAUCAUAGUCUAUUAGUAACAUUCUGUCGUCAUUAUGAUAAAUGAGGGAGAUUAGAAGUUUAGAGAGAAUGUAGAGAAAAAGAAAGAAAACUUUUAUAAAAAGAUUGUUUUAUAACUCCUUAAAAUCACAAAUAUCACCGUAUCUUAUUUUUAAUAUUUUUAAAUUUAAUUAAUUUAUCUCAAUACAAUAAUUGUAUCAUUAUUUUUAUAUAUUAUAUAUUAUGUAAGUACCUUAUAAUUGAAAUCAAUGUUAGUAUAAAAAGAAUCAUAUUUCAUUUUAGACUAAUUGAAAUAUAUUUAAUUAUUCUAAUGAUUGAGUAUUUUAUAUUUUUAUAUAAAAAAUAUUUAUUAAAUUUGAAAUAUAAUUAAACAAAAAAGACGAAAUAUGUGGUAAAAUUGAGAUAGUUGUAUAUUGUUAUAACUAAUAAAUAUUGAGUAGAUAUCUGGUGAAGGGAGGGAGUAUAAAAGAAGAAGAGGGAGGCGUAAGGAGAAAAGGGAAGAAAGCAUAGGAGAGAAGUGAAGAAGAAGAAGAAGCAGAGAAGAAGACGAAAAUGGGAGUGGAGAAGCAAUUGUUGAGGCCUGGCACCGGUCCCAAGCCAAAUCCUGGUCAAAACGUCACCGUUCACUGCACUGGUUUUGGUUCGUAAUUUUCUCUCCCCCUUUCCCUUUCUAAACCCUAAAUCUCACUUUUCCCACCUUUUGUUAGAUCGCACCCUCUUUAACGUGCUUACUGUUGUGAAUUCUGUGUGCAGGGAAGAACGGCGACCUAACUCAGAAAUUUUGGAGGUAAUUACCAUUUCAUUUCAUUUCAUUUUUCGUUCCUUUCUUUUCAUUAAACUCGUUUAUCACUACUUUUCUUACAGCACAAAGGAUCCUGGCCAAACCCCUUUCUCCUUCAAGAUCGGCCAAGGUUCUGUCAUCAAAGGUAUACACCAUUUUCACUUUCUUCCAAUUCAUUCUUUCUCAUAAUUAUAAUUAUUAAGUGGAUUUUAAGGCCAAGUCUAUCUCAUUAAAACCUGUUUUCAUCAGCUUUCAUAAUAUUUUAGCGAGUGUUUGGCCGUUAUAUGUGUGUUGGGAUUUCACAUCGAUCAGAAUUCUCUGUGUUGGAAAUCUCGAAUGAAUAGACUAGAGAGUGUGACAUUUCAUAUUUAUUAAUUUCAUAUCUCAGAUCGUUAUUUAUAAAUUAAUUAAAUUUAUAAAUGAUAAAUUAAUUAAAUUUAUAACCGGGUUCAAACCUUACCUUAUAAAUCCUGUUUUAUGAGAUUGUCCCUUACCUUAUAAAUCCUGUUUUAUGAGAUUAUGUGUUAGGAUUUACUUUGUAAUAAUAAUAAUAUUUUCCUAUUUUUUUGUUCUCUAAUGUAAAUUUAUCGUAAUAUUUUUUUAUAUCUUCCUUUCAACUAUCUGUGUCUGUAGGAUGGGAUGAAGGUGUGCUUGGCAUGCAAAUUGGUGAAGUUGCUCGUCUCCGGGUAAUGCUAGCAACCCUUUUCUCUUACAUGUUCCCACUUGAAAAAUCUCAUCGCGACUUCAAUCUUUCGUGUCACUCAAAUUCUCACUUUUUGGAAUAUCCUUCGUGUUUGUCCUCUCCUCAACAAUCUUUUAUCUGCAUAACUCAAAAUCUCUUUUUGAUAUCACAUCCAACUGAGUGUUGUUGUUGGUGUCAUUAUAAAUUAGCUGUUUCUUUUUCAUGUGUUGGUGCUGAAUCCACUGUACUUUUAUUAAUUCUUAGCUGUUUGUUUGUUGCUUCUUUUGGGGGUGGAGGGUUAUAGAAUUGUAUAGACCCUGUUGUUCACAUUGUUGAUGAUCUUGCAGUGCACUCCUGAUUAUGCUUAUGGUGCUGGUGGCUUUCCUGCUUGGGGAAUACAACCCAACUCUGUCUUGGAAUUUGAAAUCGAAGUCUUAAGUGCGAAUUGAAAACCUUUUUAGUCUGUCUGUCUCGGCCCGAUGAAUAAGAUCAUUCAUUUUCAUGGACAUGUGUAAUGGUAUCCCAAUGCAAUGAGUGACGAGUUGUUUAACCGAAAUGCUAAAUUACUUCUUGAAUGAUCUCAAUCUCUUAAUAUUAUAUUUCGUACCCUUUACUUCUUCAUUUCUUUGGUAAAUUAAUAUUAUCUAGCAACGCAUCACCUUAGUUUCUGCUUCCAUGUAUGUGAAAUGCUGUAGAAUUUUUUUCCUAUCCUAAAGAAUCCAGUCUUUACCAUUCAUCCCAAGUUUAUAAUGUGACCUCCACCACACUUGUAGAUUGAUUGCAGGUUUUGCUAUUGUUAAUAGUAAUAAUAAUAGCGAUAUUGUUAUCACGAUUUUCUUUUGUUGGUGGAGUUGUUGCUACAAGCCAAUAUUUAUGCUAGUUGCAUGAGAAUAGCACUAUUUUGGCUGUAAGCCAUACUUGGAUGUGUAAUGUGUUUGUUUAUCUCAUACUUGAGUUACGUCCCUCUUCAGCUUCAAUUUCUUAGCUUAGCCCAGUUGAUAGAGCAACUUGAAAUUAUGAGAAUAAUUAUUUGUUAUUAUUGUAGAGAAGUGAAAGAAUUAAGAAAAAGUGAUAAUAUAUUAUAUUUUAAUAUUUUAUAGUUAAAAAACAAAUAAUCUACAGUCAUUAAGAAAUAUAAAAGUAAUACCCUAUUCAAGUAAUUGAAAGAGCCUCUGAGAUAAUUAUGUAAUUCAGAAACUAAUUAAUAUUUUUGAAAAUACAUAAGCCCUUAUAAAUUUUGUAACCUGUAACGGCUCAGCCAAUUGUUUUGACUUGCUCAAAUUGUAACAUUUAUACGCCCGAGAAUACUGAACCCUAACUAAUACUUUACAUCCAUUUUUAGGCUAUUUCUUCCUACACUCCAAUGGCUUCUUGCCACAGGCGAAAUGUAUAUUUUUCUAUUUAUACUUAAAUUCCAUGAUCCCAUUUUUUUUAUUUUUUCUUCAAGAAAAAUACAUUUGGAAGGUAUUUAUGGCUUCGAUUUCAUAAUCUUUUCAGAAGUUAUUCUAUAAUCUGAUUUUUUUUUUAUCACAGAUUCCAAAAUAAAAAACAUCAAUAAAAUUUUUGGUAUUUUAAGAUAUAAUAUAGUAAAUGGUAUUUUUAGUAUUUUAAAAAGUAUUGAGUGCCAAAAAAAGCUAUGUAGGGGCCGAAAAAAAACAGUCUCAUUUUUAAAAAGCAACUAUUUGAUGUAAUGAAUGCCCUUAAUUGGGCCUUAAUUAAGGUAGCAAUAAUUCUAUGUGGUCCUGCCCACCGGUAGAUGUUUUUUUUAAUCUGUGAUAUUAAAUGCAAGGAUUUACUAUUACACCUGAUUUUUACAAAAAUCUGAAAAAAAAUUGUCUUUCAAAAAUAUUAUUUUGUAUUUUGUAUUUGAUAUACGCACAUAACGGAAAUGUAAUUUUUUUUACAUUACAAGAACUACCUUUUAUAGUAAAAAAUGUCUACAUUAAAGAAUUUCUUUGAAAGAUCUCAGUGGUGACUCCAAUACUGAAACUUAGAGAUCAUAGAUCAAGUUUCGUGCAAGGGUGCUGAUAUGUUAAUACUUUGAACAAUAAAAACAUACACUCUAUAUCUUAAUUUAUUCAUUUUUAUUUUAUUUUUUAAUUUAAAAAUAUUAUAAUAUUAUAAACCGUAUGAAAUGUAUGUUUUUAACUGUUGAUAGUGUCAACAAAACUUUUCUCUUCUUCCAAAUCGUUAUUUCUAGUUUAGAUAGACUUUUCUGCAAAUGUUAGAAAAAAGGUUUCCAUGGUUUAUAUGUAUAAAUAAAUGAGUUAUUUUUAGUUUUGGUAUUAUGGAUCAAACUAUUACCUGAUAUAAUAUUCAAACGUGGGAAAAUAAUUCAAAUUGUCAACGUUGCAUUCCCAUCACAAUACCUAAAUUUUCAUGGUGAAAGGAUGCAAGAUCUUUUUCAAUACAGUGAUGAUUAAACUAUAAUGAAGGUUUUCAAAGAGUAUAAUUUUGCAUUGCAAAUCAUUCCAAUAUUCCACUAGCCAAUACUGCUAAUGUUGGUUUCAAUUAGAGCAAUUCAGAACAAAGAUCUCGUAACAGUAUUUUGGUUAAUAAUUUGCCAUUUUGCUCAGAAAAACUAUCUAGUAGGACAACUACUAUCAGUGGUUCUGAUAAAGCUAGCUGAAAAAUCAUUUGAAGUGGAAAGAAAAUGUUGCAGAGCCUAAAGGUAUGAAUUUAUUUCCCCUUUCCCUUUUAAAAGGGAUAAAAUCAGAAAGCAAUCAAUUCAUGUAUGUGUUAUUCAAUGAAAAAAGUGGAAGGAAUCCCUGAAUUGUAGCAUCUAGUCUCUGAAAUCCAACCGCACUUGGGUGGAGCUGUAACCCAAAGGAAAGACCUCAUCAUAGAUUCUGGUAUUUGGUGCUGGUGCCCUCCCUUCCAAGCAAAAUGGUAUUAUAAUUAUUAUUAUUAUUUCUUCUCAAACGGGUUGAAAUCAAAAGAACGAUUAUCUUCUUUCUCGGUCAGUCUGUCAUUCUCCAUCCUCUUUAAUUCACUCCCUCUACACCUCUUGACUUGUUAUUUCUUGUCUACGUGAAUUCCGGACUCGGAUGGUACUUGCAAAAGACAUUUCGAUACUUAAGUAAGACUUCGGCAAUCAGUACCACAGUGCAAUUAGUACUAGAUGACGACGUACUCUUGAAAUCUGUGUUUAUUUAUAUAAUUUAUCAUGGGCUAUUUGUUAUUAGAUCUAAUUAAGAAUUUAAUUUAUGAUUAAGAAUUUAAUUUAAUUUAUUUGAUCUUUGAUUAGUCUCAUCAAUCUUCUGCUUGGAUGUAAUGGUUUCGGUCAGUCUUGACCGCGGGCUGGAUUCCAAUUAGUCGUACGGAAAAAAUACACAAUUUCUUGUUAUAUGGAUUUGUCUUCAGAAUGUAUAAACUCAAAGUAUCUAAGGAACAAUACAUGAAUUAUUAGAUGGUAUAAUGGUAUUGCCCUUUUAUAAAUAUGGAGUCUUUUGAUCUCUUUCUUUUAGCUUUUUGAUGAAAUGCACGGGUGUAGUAUGUUAGAUUGGAUGAUUGUGGUUAGUGGGCUAAAAAUGGGAGUUGCACUUGAUGAACAUGAUCUGCUAUCUGCAUAAUAAUUGUCUUAUUUUUAUGGUGAUGGUGUUGUUGCAUCAUUGGUUCCAUCUAGCUGGUGGCAGUGUGGUGAGUUUGGUGGGGGCGAUUGGGCCAUGGAGUUUGGUUUGAUUUCAAUGAGUAGCUAACAACAAAUUAGGAAGUUAAUGAGUGUAUUAGAUUAUUCAUGAGUGAAUGGCACAUGUUUCUGUCUCUCUGCCUUUUGUUUGGGCAAUGUUAUUAUCAUCAUAACACCUUCACCAAUUCAUUUCUUAACCACCUUUCACAUUUUGCUUCAUAGAUUGGGAAACAAUCACUAAAUCAGGACUGUUCUGGAAGUAACAUGUCACCAAAACUAUAUCAUGGCUAAAUCUUCAAUCAUUACAUAACAACUAGUAAGAUCAUUUCAUUUAUAAAUUUCACUUCUUUGCCAAGGAUAAUUUAAACAACAAUUUCAAAACUUAAAUACAACACCAAUAAUUGAUCAAAAUUAUUAUUUUUAAAUUAUCAUUUUAAUAUAUAUUUUACACCCAUCUAAUUAUAGAAAAUUAUUUUUUCAUUUUUUAUAUAUAUCUUUUAAUAUUUAAAUUAUAACAUUUGUCGGCACAUGGUUUAGACUCUGACAGCUUAAAAAUAAAUAAAAUACCAUAUUUUUAGGUAAGUAAUAUAAAUUACUUUUAAGGUUGAGUGAUAUUAAAAGCAAGAUAGGUAACUAUCAAUAUUUGCAAACAUAAAAGCUCGAAAUUGGAACUAAAGUAAAAAGUUGCUAUAUUUUUCAUUGUCUUUAACAUAUUUAGAUUUUAAAAAACACUUAGUAAAUCACUUAAUUUGAGAGGCAAGAAUGGUUCAUUGGGGUGCAAUUGUACUUUAAUCUAUUUCUGUUACUUCUUUAAUAAUCACAUUACACUAUCUUUUUGGUUGAGGAGUUACAAAGUUCUUUCUUUAACAUUAAAAACAUUAUUCAAUAAAAACAAUUUCAUCACUAGUGAUAUAUUUUAAAUUUAUUUUUCUUGAGUCAAUUAAAUAUCCAAAUUAAUAAAAUUUAUCAUAGGUAAAUAAACUUCUAACUUAUUUGGUAAGAACCUACCGUAAUAGAUGAAGAACUUCUAGUUAAGAUUUAACAAAAAUGUUUAUGUUUGAAAUUACAAUGCCCAUAUGCACAAGAAAAAUUAAGUUAUUAUAAAAAAAAAUAGUUGGGGUCAAAUAAUAAAAAUAAUGCAUAAAGAGACUUCUCUAUGUUACUUAAAUUACCAAAUAUAAUCCAAUUUCACUACUAAAAGCUAAAAAAUGUAUCUUCAACCAAUUAUUUACUUGAAGUAAAUGAUAAAUAUAUUCUUAAAUAAUUAAAUAUUAAUCAAAACCAUUUCUUCAAAGACAAACAGAAAAUUUUUUUACCUAACAAAAUAGCAUAGGUGGAGAAAAGGUGGAAAGGAAAAAAAGGGGAAAAGAAAGAAAGGGCAAAAGUGAGAUUUGAUUGUGUAUAUAGUGGUGGGCAUGCACACCAUGCCCAACCUCCCUCCACUGCCUCUUUCCCACAUUUUCUUGAAACACUUCACUCUCUUUACCUUUUUUGUUCUCUCAACCAAUCCCUCCAACUGUAAGUCUUUCUAAAUCUCAUUAACCUUUUUCUUGCUUCUCAUUUUUUCUUAUCUGUUCUUUGGUUUGUUAUUGGGUAACACAAAAUCAUGCUAAAGGUGAAGCCUUUAAUUCAACUGGGGCUACCAUCCCCCUCAUGGAACAUGGCUCUGAAAUUCAGUUUUUUUUUUUUAAAAAUAAAUUGGGAUCAUAUUGUGGCUAAAUUAACAACCUUUUUUGGUUUCUGACAAAUUUCAGGAUUGGAGUAGUUUAAUUUUUAUUUUUUAUUUGUUGAGUAGAACAACUACAACUUUCAAGGAAUUAAAAAAAUUAAUUGGGUAAUAGCUCUACUAGGGCAUGUGGCUUUCUUCCUUAGCUGCCAACAAGUUAACAUCAUGAUGAUUGCUUUCUCUCCCCCAAUUGGAUAGAAAAUUAAGAGUGUUUUUUUGAAGAAAUGAAUGGAUGAGUUGUUUGCUGCAAUUAGUUUUCUGUUGUCACAGGUUAUUGAUGUUUUCUCAUUUAGAAUAGAACACUUUGCUUUUGUUUUUUUUUUUAUAAUAGAACACUUUGCUAUGGUUUUCAUUGCUGUUACUAUGUUUGCUAACAUCAAUUUUUUUUCAAUCUUGUUUCAGAGUAAUUGGUGUUGAGGGCAUAACAUAUUUCUGAAGCUCUAAGCGAUUGUGGAAGCUUAAUCACACAGGAAGAAAUCAGCAUGCGGUGGUUGGGUCUUUUGGUUUAUGUACAUCGUCAAGUUGUACGCUUGAACUUAUAUUGCAAAGUUAUUCUAUAGGUCCCUUCAAUUCUUUUACUUUGUUACUUUUGGGUUUUGGUUCCUUAAUCUUAACUACUGCCAUGGAAGACAACCGCUGUUUGUUAACUUCUUCAGAAAAAUAUAGAAUUGGCUGAAAGAUUGGGAGUGAAGACAGUGCCUGGUAUUUGUGUCUUCAGUAUUGUUGCCGUCUUAUAUAUUUCUGUAGUUCUAGCUGAUUUUAAAUUUAUAAUUAGCUUGGUUCCUUCAUUAUCACAUUCCAUUGGGGCCUUUUCUUGGGUGUACAUUACAUUCUAGUGUGGUAGGAUCCAAAAGAAGUUAUGGUGUGCCAAGCAGCGAGCCAAACAAGAUUCCGGACUUUGAAACAUGAGAAUGGCAUUGAAGGUGAACCAACAAUUAUUGUUAGAGUGAUAGCAUGCUUUCAACCUUUGCACGAUUGUCAGGUUAGUAACCUAUUGCUGAUUCUUAGUGUUUUGCAAUUGCAUUUCUUUCACAAUACUGUAGGCAUGAUUUUGAAACCAGCUGUUUGAAGAAAAAAUUCAUUUAUGCCUCUUGUGCAUGUAGAACAUUUAAGAUCAAUGAUCACUAGAGCUAAUGGUAUCAGCUAUUGGAUAAUUUUAUGAGUGAUAUCUUCUUACUCUUUGCAGGCUGAGUACUUCCGUCAUCUGCUUAAGCCUGUCACGUAGAUUGUUUUGCAUUUGUUUUUCUUUAAGCUGGAAUCUGUAGUUUUCUGUUUCUGUCAUUUGUUCUUAAGAGAAGCAGCAAGUCAUUGAAAAUCCCAUAUCAAGUCGCCAUAACAUCUACUGGUAUGUAUUUUCAAAUGCUCUUUCAAUCUUUACAUCUGAAAGGUUCAAGUUUUUCACCAUCAGCAUUGAUCGGUCAGUUCUUUUGUUCUUUAGGUCACUUUUUAUUGGAUGGUUAAGGCUCAUUGGUCUUGGCCUAACCCACAGCAUGUGGCUUGGCCAUCACCUUACUUAAAUAGCCCCUGCACCUUAGCAGAGCCCAGUUCGCUGGUUCAUUCAACAUACAUGAACUCUAGCACAUGCAUAUUUCCGGGGUUCACAGCUCCUGCUAUCCCAAAUUUGAAGAGUGAGCUAACCAAUGAAGUGCAGGGAUUCCUUCAGCAUCCCAAUGAACCAUGUUUAAACGAAACACAUAGUGGAGAGGCUGUGCAAGAUGCAUCUUUGCAGAAGAAGCUGCUUGUUUUUGACCACUCUGGUAGUAAGACAAGGUUGCUUUAUAGUCCUGUCUUCCCUUUUGUCCAGAGUCCAAUUGUUACUGCUACCCAAUUCACUCAAGUUUAUGACGUAAAAGAGGAAGCACGAGCAACUAAUAUAGGCCUAAAGCAUUGGCCCAUAUACACUUCACCAGAAGAGACUGGGAAGGAUCAUAUAGAUAAUGAAGAAAGUGAAAUGCACGAAGACACAGAAGAAAUCAAUGCAUUGCUUUAUUCUGAUGAUUCUGAUGAUGAUAGUGAUGAUGAGGUAACAAGUACAGGUCAUUCUCCGUUGGUUACUGAAAAAAUGUGUGUGAUUCAAGAACAGUUUGUGGAUAUGAAGGAGGAAGUUGCUAGCACUGAUUGGCCAAACAAAAGGCAGAAGUUAAUUGAUGGUGGAUUCAAUAGAUUGCCACCACUUGUGGAGAGUGCUAGUUCGGAAAGGCUAAAUAAAAAGUGUGACUAUGCCAGUGAUGCUGAAUCAAACUAUUCUAGUAGUGUUGAGGUGUAUGCUACCAGGCAAACUAAGAAUAAAUCAACAGAUGUUGAUAUUGAAUUGAAAAAGGAUAAAAUCCGUAAAUUGUUAAGAGUUCUUGAGAACUUUAUUCCUGGAGCAAAAGGAAAGCAACCCCUAUUAGUCAUCGAUGGUACUAUUGAGUACUUGGAAUCUCUGAUGGCCCAAACUGGUAGACUGAAAUAUUACUAAGUGCUCAUUGUGGUGGUUAGAUUACAAAAUGGUUGAAGGGCACAUUGAUGGUGAAAAAAGUUGUGUGUUGAAUUAUUAUAUUUGUGUUUGAAUUCAGCAUCCUUGCUUCUUUGAUUGUCUUUCUCAAGGUGUAUUUAUAGUUUAGCAAUAAAGGGGGCGAAAACAGCAAUAGAUGGUACUACAAAAUGGGGUGUUGGGAUUGAAAUUUGAUUGGGAAGAUAUUUGAUGUUUGAGCUUUUUGGUGGAUUAAAGGUAAAAGAGAUUGAAGGGAUGGGUGAUGGUAGUGGAUGGUUGUGGUGUAAAUGAGGACACUUUUUUCUUCGGGAGUGUUGAAUUGUGUUGUUGAUUGAAUGCAUGCGCGUUAGGUAAGUGGGGUCCCAGUUUCCACCCUCCCUUUUACUUCCUGAUUUUAUGCUCUCUUCCAACCUUGGCUUCUACACAUAUGAUGCUAGCGUAGACUAUAAAGUACCAAGAAAGUUCCAUGUUGGUGGCGUGCUUGAAAGAGGAGCGUGGUGUUUCAUCAUCACUUCUUGGGGCCCUUUCUUGGAUGCACAUAACAUGUUCUGGUAAAAGGUUUCUUUGUUUUAUGUGUUCACCCUGUCAUUCUGUUUUCUACCUUGUAAUUCAGUAUUCUAAGGUUUCUUUUUCAUCAUGCUAUUAUGUAUUUAUGUAUCUGUCGGUUCUGUCAAUGCGUCUAUUCCUUUUCAUGUUUUCUAUUUUCGUUAUCCUUGUCUUAUCUGUUUAAUACUACCAAACAAAACUUUACAUUAGAUAAUCAAGAAUUUGAAUUUCAUUUGUAUUAGUUAUUACAUGUGUAACACAUAGCAUAGACAGUGAUACAAAUAUACAAAUAUUACGACAUGGACACAUAGAUUCUUAUAAUUUCUAAUAAGAUACGCAGAUCAAAAUUUGUUGAUAAAUAUAUAUAUAUAUAUAAUUAUAAAUUGAUAAUAAAAUUUAUGUAUACAAGAAGUACGUUUUAGUGAAGAUAUUUUAUAAUCAUUUGUUUCUUAUUUUUAUAAUCAUAAUAAAUAUAUAGUUGAUAAAAAAAUUAUAAUAUAUAUUUUUUAAAUUAUGUUAAAAUUAUAUUAGAAUUAUUAAAAAUAUAAUAAAUAUUUUUUGAAUUUGAAAGAGUGUUCUACGAGUGUUCUUCGUACGAGUGUUCGAUAUGAUUCAUGAAGGUUAUGAUUAAAAUAAAGAUUUAAAUUUAAUUAUUUUGUUUAGUUCCGUCAUACUUCUUAAUCGACAUGAUGAACACUAAUCUCUCAAUCAUGCCGUGAUUUCCAAAUCUAAGAUAUUUUAAGUAUAAAGCAAAAACAGUGGAAAUAAUCUUUGUACUAAUUUUAGUUUUAUUUAUUAAAUAAAUGUUUGGGUGAUGGUUACACUAAUAAUGCAGAUGAUUAAUAGCAAGAAUUUUUUUAUCAUUAAGGCCAUGAUAUUAAUAAUGAUGAUGAGUGCUGAUAUUAGAAAUGUAAUAAUAAUGAGAAUAACAAUUAUUAAUAAAUAUAAUAAUAAUAUAUUUAUUUAAACUAAAAAUCAAACAUUCAUUUUUUAAAUAAAUGUAAGAAAUAUUUUAAAAUUGAGUAAAAAUGUUUCAAUUCCAUUUUUUCCAACCAAAAUUAUUUUAAAAAUUACACUUUAAAAGUUAAAACCAAAAACCUGCUAUCACUCCUAAAUGGACCUUUGCUAAAGACUAUUUUCAAUAUUUAAGUAUAUUUUAAAAAAUAAAUUAUUUUAAAUUUAAAUAAUAUAUACAUAUAUAUUAAGUUAAAGCUCAUAUAUAUAUAUAUAUAUAUAUAUGAAAUUUAAAAUAAAAUUUUAAAAAUGUUUUUUCAAAGACUAGCGUAGUUUUUUUUUUAACAUAGACAAGUACAUUUUUAGUACAUUUCAAAUAUUUUGUAAUUUUUUUAAUUAAAACAAGUAGGAAAGUUACCAUUUAUUUUGAUCUGGUUUUUGAAAAUUAAAUUAUAGAAAGGGGGAAAAAGGAAAAUUUUGACAGAAAACAUACGAGAUUCACGUGUUUUCUUGUGUUUUGUCAAAAUGGUUGGUACCACUUAGCACUUUUCAUCUAUAACAAUUUUUGUUACAAAAUUGGUCUUUUAAAGAUAAUCUUAAUAGGUAACAAUAAAGGAAAAAUUUAAUAAUUAAAAAUCAAUUUGACAAUAAAAAUAAUUGAAAGAUUAAUACAAUAAUAUUAUUCACUCAUGAUAAUUAUAACGUCCGCCUGAAAUUAUUUUAAAAAAAAAUUAAAAAUACCAUAUUAAAAAAUGUUUAAAAUUAAAAAUGACACUAUGUUAUCUGCAAUAUAUUUCAUGGUGUUUGGUAUAGUUCAACUUUAAAUUAGGCAUGACCCAUGGUAGUGCUUCUUCAGCCAACAACACUGUUUUGUUCUUACUACUUCUUCACCUCCAGAAAUCAAAAGCUCUGGAUUCAAACUUAUAUUAUUUCUACAUGUAGUGGAUUCAAUGAAUUUUGAUUUAUAUAUAUAUAUAUAUCAGUUUCGAGCAAAUUUUCAAAUGUUUUGGUCUUUCAAGAUGAUUGGAUGUUUUGGAAUUACAUAUGAGUUGAGGUUUCCAAUUAAAGGUUCUUUUAUUAGAAAUUAUGUAUUAUAAAGAAGCACAACAUGCAAUUAUGAAGCAUUUGACAUUGAUAUUGGCCAGAAUGCAGUGCAAUGACAGCUUCUGGAAUCUCAUGAAUAAUAUCUAAUCAUGUAUGGUCACUGUUUAGCAGAAAUGGUUCUUGGCACUAACUGUUUAAACUGGAGGGUGUAAUUAUGAGUUGGUUGGAAAAUCAGUGAUUAUAUAUAUUAUCGUUGUGCUUCUGAUGCCAAAUAAAGUUCUUACAAAUGAGCACAGAGAAGAACAUUAUUAGACUCAGAUAGAUUGAAGAAAAAGACUAGCAUUGAAAGAUAAUUAUUAACAGAUUAAUGUUUACCCUUCAAUUCCUGGUUGGUGCCGUCACAUGAUAAUCCUUUGUGAUGGUGGUAAACUGUAGUUGAUGAUGAAAGCAUCAAAGAAUCCUUCAUGGUGAUCUAAUCUCAUUGCAAGAUUUACUUGUUGCCGAUUUGGACUCAUGGAAGUCUUUUGUCUUGUCACAUGACAACUGUACCACUGUUUUUAUGCAAGAUGACAUGAUUUAUGUUGGAAUAUCUAAUCAUGUUUCUUUUUCCCUUCUAGUUCACUGCUUCUGGACAGUUUCUUGUUAUUCUCUACUUUUACUGCUGAUUCUGUUCGCUACAACAUAGAAAUGAAUAAUAAAAAUAAAAUAAUCGCAUUAGCUAUUUUUCUGUUACUAAUUGUUAUACCACGAAACCGGAAGUCCGGGCCAUAUGACCUAUCGGCCUUUCUAUAAAAAAAUCAACAUUCACGCCAUAUCACAGGUUAAGGACAUUAAUCCUAAUUAGAAAUCAAAAAGCGGGAUUAAAGUUCAUUGGGUCUGGUUUAGUCAUUCUGAUAAGAUAAGACUCACUAGAACAGUGUAAAUAAGAGGGGAUCCUCAUAUAAUGUUACUUUGAAUCCUGAACUAGAUCACUCACAUUGACAUGAUUUAACUUAAGCAUCGAGUGUCUUUGAAGGUAUCCCUCUCGAACAUCCAAAAAAAAGUAACCGGAAUUGAAGAAAAGACAAGAAGAUUUCGGUAGGAGAUAUUCAGCCUCGCAUUAUGAAGACUAAUCUUUCACUUUCUUCUCUAUCUUUCUCAGUUAGCACAUAUUUUAAUGUCAUGUGAAGCUGGACUGAGAAACCAUAUUGGCAUUAACUAUUUUUCUGGCUGCUAAUUGUUAACCUCCAGAAAAUGUUGCAGGGAAUUGGAACAUGCUUCUCUUAGAAACCAAAGAUUAAUUGGGGCAAGAUCAGGCAUUAUACCACCCAUCAUCUUCAUUUUUGUGCAUAUGAAAUUAGUGUUUGCGUACUCCUUUUUACUUUGAUUUCUCUAAUAUCCGUUGAUUAUUGUCUUAAUAUAAUCUUCUUUCUCAAAAUCUUCUCUGCAUAUAUCAAUUUAGUGCAUCAGAAAUAAAAGGGAACAAUGCUCAAAUGUACAAUCCAAGUGUCUGUUUUAUCCGGAGGAAUAUAACUGAAGACUUUUAAAUAUGUACACAAUUUGUUUUUCCAUGAAAAAACAGCAUAAAAAAGGUGGGCUUGGUCGUGAUUGAAGUGCCAGUAGAAUUCACACUUGAAAGAUAUGAUUAGCUUUGAUGACAAAUUACAAUUUAGCUAGAAUAUUGUAGAAAUUGCUAUAAGAUAUGAGGAGGGAAGAAGAAUGAGUUUCAAAGAAAUUGAGAAUUCUGAUAUUUCAGGAAUCAGGAUAUUGAGUUUCUCCACCUUCUAGCAGUCUUUCUGUUCUGUUCUAACGAAUCUGGAAUCUUAGGAGAAUCAUCCUGAUUUUCUACUACAUUUGUGGUCCUUCCAAGUUUGCUGAGUUUCUUCCACCCACUGCUCCAUGCAGAAUUAUGUUUCUGCUUUACCAUCCUAUCAAAUUGUUUCUGCAAACUGAACAUGUCAUUUUGAAGCUCCAUGUAUUUAGCUUUCACACUCUCAAGCUCAAACUUUAGUGUGUUGAUGUCUUUUUUAGCAGCUGACCAUCCUUCUUGGAAUGAUUGUGGUGUCCCUUCUAGAAGUGUUUUCCGGUUUGUUACCAUUGCAUGGCUCUCAGAUUCAACAUCUUUCACAGAACUCGUGGCUAGUGCAUUGCUUAUCUUCACCUGUUCCGCGAAUAGAACUUGCACUACAACCCUUAAUGGAAGCCUUUCAUUUUGUGCAGCAUGCAGGCAUGCAUCAAUGGAGAGCUUCUGACAAUCCAUUACACGGCAGAGUCGUUUCCUCUCAUGCUCAGAAAGUGUUGGGUGUGCCUGUUAGUUUGUUACACAUGUAAGAAAUCCAUAGAAAUCCAUCGGAAAAGUACUAAACAUACCAACUCAUCCUUCUGCAAUCACUGAUUAGUCAAGCACUCCCCAACAAAGUUUCUCAGAAGUUCUUAUUUAUUUAUUUAUCAUCAUCAUAUUUGCCAAACCAACAAAUGUAAAACCUACCUUUUGUGAUUGUCUGUGUACAAAAGAAGAUUCUCAUUUGACCAUGGAGUUGUUUAAUUUUAUAUCCAGUGAUAAAUCUAAGACAUCGUAAAUAUCACCACAUACCAGAAAUAUUGUUUGUGAGGAUCAUGAAUAGUGUUUUAAUAAAUCAAAUGUAUUGCCACUGAAAGAAAGAUCCACCAAUCAACUUUUCCCUUUAUUGUGAUGAGAACAAGAGUCAUGCUAAAUUGGUAAGGUAGCAUCAAAUCCAAUAUUUUAUUUCAAAUUUCAAAUCCAGAUCAGGAGAAAGUGUUCUAUAGAUCACCAGAAUGUUUUACCAAAAUUUCAACUAUGCUGAGGUGAAAGUGUUAGGAUAGGAAACUGAAAAUUAUUAGAAAAAGAGGUUAAAACCUUUUUAUAUUAUUUUGCUAAGAAAUUACCUUGAGAUAGGAAUCAAUUGCUCUGUAAAGUCCAUCAUCACAGGUCCUAGCUGACUCAGGCAAGGCUUCUGCAAGUACCUGAAACUUGGUCAGGGAAAGGUUCCUAUCUCUGGAAACUUCUGUAAGAUAACUGUCAACUAGCCUUGCCACUCUUGCCUUGGCAUUUAGGAUACAUCCCAUUCCCAUAUGUUGUUUAUCAGAAAAAGACUGUCUGCUAGGACUCGAACUUUCAGUCUGUUCCUGAACAAUAAAAUGUUCUAACAGCCUCUGAACAAGAUCCACAUCAUACAUAGUUUCUCCUUUAGUAUAAGAAGGAAUCAGAAGAUCAGCCAGUGUAGCCUGUUCAAACUGCAUUCCCACCCUUUUCUCUAAUUCAGUGACCAGUGCAGGUGCAACCUUUAACAUGAUUGCCAUUCUCAGGAGCCUAAGAAGGAAACUGCACGAGACACUGUCCUUCUGAGGUGGAAUAAUGCUCACAAGGCUCUCAACGACCAUCCUUUGCUCUUUAGCUUGAACACUUGAACUGUCAUCUUUUGUUCCCAUCACAAUCAUAUGAAGUCCCCCUUUCCAGCUACUGCCACCACUACUACUACUGUUACUCACACUGCAGUUGCUUGCUUCAUCACCUGGGAUUGCUGUGUCACUGAUCAAUCCCGGUAGCCACUUAGUUGCAUAAUGCAUUAUUGCAGCACCAACCAAUUCAAAUCUCAUUCCCUUUACCUUAAUGGCAGUGAUGACUCUGACAAAGUGAUCAAUCCUAAGGAUUGAGGCAUCUUCAAACCACCAAUCAGGAGGAACCUGCUGGAUCCUACUUGGGCUUGAUUCCUUCAUGUCAUUCCAUGUUGGGCUAGAAAUUUUCGCUGGUCUUCCAGUGUAGGACCACCUUAUCCCUUUGGGAUUAGCACAAGCUUUCCAAGCAAUGGACUCGCUGCAUCUGCGAACAAUUUGAAGAUUCUCUGCCCAUGGUGACAGCUUCUCACAGCUUUUCAGCACUACUAUGGAGUCUCUCCAUGAAGAUAGAACAACAUAACUGAGGAACGCUUCUGCCUUGAAUAUAAGAUUCCCUUCCUCUAGGUCCUCUGUCAUUUCUAGGUACUCUGCAGCACAUCUUAGCCCUGAAAUGUUGCCUGCUGUUAAAUCAACAGCAACUCCAUAGCAGAACUUGGCUGCAAGCUCAAAAGCCUCUGUCCCACCAGGGAUAUCAUCCAUAACUACUUUAUUCAAAUCUGGGUUGUGCGCUUCAUAUAUGAUUCUACUCAGCUUUCCACUUCGAGAUACCAAGGGGUACUUUCACACCAAAGGGGAGAGACAAACACAAAAUUCAAUGGUACAAAUGAAUGAUUUCUGAUCACUGGAUAUAGAACAAAGGAAAUCAUGAAAGAAAAAUAAGAUAGCUACCUUGUGCAAGUGGAAGCUAGCUUCUCCAAUCUGAACUUGAAAGUCACUUGGAAUAUCAGUAGCAACAUGCCUGCAUGGAGAGAGAAAAUAUUUUUAAGCAGCUUUCAUGCUCUAUAAAUGAAACUUGUUCAAGACAUAGAAUGGACAAAAAUUAGAGAACUUCAAAUCUUAUUUUCUGUCCGUGUCCUACAAUUUAGAUUCACAAGAAUUAGCAGGGCAAAACAGUGGUUCUAACUUGUAACAUCUUCAAAAGGUACUGUGCUAAUUAUGCAUCUAACAUACCAAGAGUUUCCUCUUUGUACAAAUCCUUCUGUCUUGACACCAUGGUUACUUGAAGUAAGAAGUCCACCCCCAUAUUUGUGUCCUGCCGCUGACUCACUCUCAGAUUCCCACAUGCUGAAAACCAGAUUCACAGAAUGCAGUGCUGUAGAUUUUUGUUGGGACAGUACCUUCAACUGAGAGUCACAACCAGAAAGGAGAGGGGGCAGAGAAAAGGAGCAGAGUGACUAGGCAAGCACAGAAUUCAGUGAAAGGAGGAGGGAGCCACAUGGGAUGGUUGGAAACUUGGAAUUAUUAGUCAUGUUAAAGUUGUCGGUUUCUUCUCAAAAAAAAUUGAAGGAAGGACCUCUUACAGGCUGUGGUGAAAUGGGCAUAAUCAGUUUUAUUGUGAAUGUUUGUGUUUCUUCUAGCUUUGAAUAUUUCUACUCUGAGUCAAUGCUUAAAGACACCCAGUUUCAGUUUCUUUAUGCCUCACCAGUGUGACCACUGACCAUACAUGUCUGUUCCUUUUCAGCUCAGUUUCUUAUUACUGAAUUUCAUACAUCACAACCUCAGACCUUUGAACAGAAAAUUGGUCUGCAGUAACAGGAUUUUGGCCUUACGAUGUAGCCAAUUCAUUACCAAUGAUCCCACCUUUUGGCUUUUCUAUGUUUAAUCAGAGUCAAAGAAAAAAAAGAGAAACCUCUUAGUUAGCAUAAACAUAUCUAUCUAUCUAUCUUUUCCCCUACGAAUGAGGAUAAAUUUUGAAGAAAUAAAAGUGAAAGGAAAAACAAGUGGCGUGAAUGGAAGGCAAAAUGAGUGUAAUUUGUGGCAUAUGUUUUGUCCUACUGAUACCAACAUCGACAAUUGCCAUUUUCACAACUCUUCACAUUUGUAAUAACUGUUUGGUAUAUUUGCGAAUUACAAAUGAAUGAUUGGUUUAAGAUAACUGCAUCUCUCUGUAUUUUGAAAAAUGUUUUUUAUAUGAAUUUACAUUUCAAUAAAAGAUUAUUCAGAGCAAUUCGAUUGUUUUAACAAUUGUGUUUAUACUAGUUACACCUUCUAUAAAAUAAUAACUUUUAAUGAUUGGUGAUGGAGAUCCACGUCGAUUAGAGACGACGACAAUUCAUUCUAUAUAAGUGGGUGUAAAUCUCACCUCCCAUGAUGUCCGAUAGCGGGUGGCCUGAUAAGCCCAACAAACACUCGUUAGGAUAGGUUCGAAAUAACUCUAAUACCAUAUUAAGAAGUGGGUCUAACUCAACCCCAUAAAACUGGCAUAGGAUUGAGGUUUGCACCCACUUAUAUACAAUGAAAUGUCUUUAUCUCUAGUAGAUCUCUAUCAAUUAGUUUGAGAAAAUAGACAUGAAGAAUAAAUAAACUAAAAAAAUAAGAGUAAGAGAUAAAAUAAAAAAUUUAAUUGAUCGGUAGAGUUGAGUACAAAUAUAUAAAAAUAAAAGUAAAUACUUUAAUUAAUCUGAUAAAAAGAUUAAAUUUAACUCUCUCACCCUUUAACUUAAUCAUUAGAAAAGUCAUAUCAUUGCUAAGUAAACUUUUUACUAUUUUAAUAAUUUAUUUCUUUAAAUAUUAUUUUAUUUGAUAUAUAAACAAUCUUACACUUUCAUUUAGCAUGAAAGAGUGUGUAUAAUAAAUAUGCUAACUUAUAACAAUUAUUUGAAAAUUGACAAGGUAAAACCACUUUAAAAUACUGAAAUGAUCAUUAGACUCUUUAACUUUAGUAUUACACUUUUACUAUAUACUGAGCUCAUAAAUAAAAGUUCAAUAAACUCGUCUACAUACAUAUUCCUUUAUUUUAAAAUUAAAUUUUCUACAUAAGAAAAGCAACACUACGAAUGAGCAAAAAAGAUUAGAUUGUUUGGUGCAAGAAAUUUUUUGGAAUUUGAAAGAACAUGGGUAGAGAGACACGUUUGUCUCUUUAGGUGUACUUUAACUGGUUUUCACCACGAAAUAGAUUCCCCAAAUUGCAUGGAUUUAGUUUUGGUUCAUAUACCAAAAAGUUGUGAUAAAAUGAAUGAUAUGGUAAAUAAAAUAAUAAGGAAAAAGUUGAGAAAUUGAAUGAAUGAUUUGGUUUCUCCAAUUUUUUGUUUUGUUUUAUAUUUGGGUUUGAAAAAAAAAUGAAAGAAAAAACAAAUGUGAGGAAUAGAGAUUUAGAUGUGAUUCUUAAAGUCACAUCUGAUUUUGUUGGAACAACCCAUACUCAAAACUUCCCCACUCAAUUAGAUAUGCUUUGCCAUUAUAUGCACAAGCUGAAUCAUAGACACUGUGCAUUCUCAUAAUUUCUUUUUGGUUGGUACAACACUUUCAAAUUCCUUGAAAGAGAAAGACAAUUUGGUUGGUUCAACUUCUUCCGCGUUGCUUCCAACUCUUUCAUCCACACAUUCAUUCCUCUCCCAUAAACACAAACUCAAAAUUCACCUUUUAACAAUCCUACUGUAUUUUAGUUACUCAAGUAAAAUGUGAUUAAAGUACAAAUUAAUGCUAUAAUCAUAUGAUUAUAUGUGUGACUUUGUUGCGUAGUGUUCCGACAUAAGGGGAGUUUAUUCUUCUAAUUGAGGGGUUUGUGAUACAUUUUUCUUUUCACAGUUGGUGUUACUGUUUCGAUCUCAAGUUCUAGAGAAAGUAUUACUAUGAUUAACCAUUGCAUGUGAGGUAUUGUCCGUUUUGGAGAUCGGUGUUCCGUUACAGUUUUAUUUUUAAAAGACGUCUUGAUGAGAUAGAGAAGAAAAAAAUAUAUAAACUACUUAUAGUCUCGACUCCUAAACUCUGUGAAACUAUAUUGGACAAAACAAAUAAGAACAUGUAUCUUAAAAUUUUAAAAAAAUAAAAUAAAAUCUAUUGUUAUAAAGUUUUAGAUUAGAAGUAGUGUUUUAAUUUUUUUUUAUAUGAAAAUGUUCAUGAUUUAUUGGUGCUGGAUUAUCCAUAUGUUUUUUUUUACACAAAAGUAAUUUAACACUAUUGUGAUACUCAAAUACACACUAUCUUAAUGUUUUUAAUUGAAAGUAGUGUAUUGACCAUUUUUAUAUGAAAUGUUCAUAGUUCAUUGGUAACGAAUGACGUAAUAUUUUCUAAAAAAAGUUAAAGAAAAAUAGAAUUAGUAGUUUUCCUUAAUAUUAAAUAAAAUAAUGUUUUAUGGAUUAAUUUUUAUUUAUUUAUUAUGGUUCUUGGUAAUAUUUGGGCAAUGGGAGUAUUUAUGAAUUGAGAGUAGCAUAAUAUUGCAGCAUUUAUUGAAUUACCAGUGCAUGGAUUGUUUGGGCUCAUCCAUUAUUGCUUGGUUUUGAGCCCAGACUUGUUUAUAUUUGUGAAUGCUGCCAUUUAUAUAUGAACAAGCUUCCUCUUUAUUCAAUAAUACAAGAUGUUUUUAUAAAUUAUUCAUCGUUUAUUGAUUUAAUUAUGAUUAAAGUCAUGGUUUAUAUCCAUAAGAAGUAAUCUUAUAAGUUUUAAUAUUAAGUGAUGUAUUCAAAUCAUAAAAACUCAGGCAGAUAAAUUAUAAAAGAUAACAAUGAACAAUUAAUAAUAGCAAUGCAUAAACGAACAUUUUUAUCUUCAAAAAAGGAAAAGAAAUGGUGGCUAUAUUAUAAAUUUCAAAUGCAACAACAUUUGUUUAAACUUAAAUAGUUUAUCACAAUAAAAUAAAAAAUAUUUGAAUUUUAUUUUAGAUUAAUAAACUUAUUUAAAAUUCAUUUGAAUAAACUCAUGUGCAAAAUUAUAAUUUAAAAGAGAAUGGUUCAUAACAAACACACUCUACAACUCAUUCAUAAGAAAUGCAUGGCUUAUUAAAAAAAAUAUUAUAAUUAAAAACAUUCCGUAUUUAAAUUAAAAUACUUUUUUAAAUAAUAAUAAAAAUGUUAAUAAAACAUUCUAUAAGGCAUUCUAUAAUAAAACAUUCUAUAAAACAUUAGUAAAAAAAAAUUAAAUAAAAGAUUCCGUAUUCCAUACAAAAUUUCUCAUUAAUAAUAAUAAAAAGUAUUCUUCGAUAUUUUGAUUUCAAUUUUUUUACGGAAAUCAAUUAAUUGAAUUUUUUUCCUCAAUUAGAGAUGGUAAAUUAAUUUCAAUUUUUAUUACAAUUUCUAAUAACUGCUCGAUCUCAUAUAUUUACAGUGAUUCCAAAAGAUAAAUCAAUUUUCAGAUCUUGAUAAUUAAAUAUUAUUGUUUAUUAUUUUAUUUAUCAUAAUCAAGGUCAAAUAUCAUUUUGAUUUCGAUUUCAAUCCUAGAAAUAGAAAUUUUGAUCUUUCGUUUUCUUUUGUUCUUGAUUAAAGAAUAUUUUGAAUAUAAAAUUUAAACACAUUCAAUCAUGAACCAUAGUUUUAGGAGUAAAUUUAAUGUCGAUGAUAGUGAAGUGAAUUUAAUUUUGAAUAAAGAGAAAGGAUUUCGCUUUUAAAAUUGACUUUAAAAUUGAUUUUUAUAACUAACUUAUGAUUCUGGAAAUUAAAUGGGAUGAUAGAGUAAUGGGAUUCCUAAUUCAUGGCAAAACGCUUUAUACUAUUAUUAUUAUUAUUAUUAUUAUUAUAUAUAUAUAUAUAUAUAAACUUCAAUUCAGUGGAUUGAAACUUUAUAUUUUCCAUUUUCAUUUUUUAUUUCAAAUUUCAUAUGCCAAAUUUUAUAUUUGGACCAAAAGUUCUAUAUUACAAAACUUAUUUCAACUAGUUUCAGUUUACAACAAACAAGUGGAUCAUGUGGUGGACCCUUUAAAAAAUGAUAAUAUUUUAUUUACAUUAUCUUUAGAGAUAUUAUUUAGAAAUAAAAAAUGUUAAGAUAACAUUCUCCUUCAUUUUAAUAAUAUAAUAAUGUAUAUUAAUAUUUUAAAUAAAAAUAAAAAAUGUAAUCAAAAUAUUUAUAUUUUGAAUUAUCAAAUAAAUACAUUUUUAUAUGAAAUAUCUUCAUCCUUUUGUAAUAUAAGAGUUAAAAUAAGAUCAUAUAAACUUAUAAUUAGGAUAAGAUAUUUUUUUAAAGAAAUAAGUCAGACUUAAAUUCAUAGAAGAGUUUAUUUUAAAAAAUAUAUAAUUUUUGUUAUAAAUAUUUUUUUAUAUAUACUUUCAGCCUUAAAAAUAUUUUAUAUGGUUUGAUACAGAUUUUGGAGAUCUUUAUAUAAAUUAAAAGUAAAAAUAAAUUAUGGUAUAAAGUAAGUAUAAAGGUCAUUUCAUAAACAAACAAUUUUGUAAUAUUCUAUCAAAAUUCAAAAUUUAUUGUAACACAAUAUACUAAAUCCAUCACACUACUUAUCAGGUUGAGUUAAGCUUAGAAAUAAAUUUCAGAAAAUGGUAAAAUUCCCUAAAUUAUUUCUUACUUAUUUAUACUCAUGUUUCAAUUUCUUAUCUCAUUUUUUUAAUUUCUUUUAAACCAAACUAAUUUAAAUUUUACUCUUUUUAUUUGACAAUUUAUUUUCAUCCAACAUAAUUUUUAUUUAUUUUCAUGUCUAUCAAAGCAUUAGGCAUUCAACAUUUGCUUUGUACGUAUAAUAUUUCCAAGGCAAAAUUUCAUUUGCGAUUGAAAAAGUGUUCGCUUCUAAAAAAGAGUAUCAAAAUUUUGUUUAAAAAGAUGUCUUUGGUGCUUCACUAUUCAUGUACUUUGUCCAAUAGCAAAUGAAAGAAACUUAGGAUUAAUAUUUUUGUUUUCUUAAUGCAGAAUGUCCACUUUUAUUCUUUUAAUUGAAAAUUUGUAAAACAUAAAACACAGAAAAUAUGCUUUUUGUUUAAAAAAACAUUCAGGCAAAAAGGUAACACUAAAAGUUGGAAAAUAAUUUAACAAUUAAUGCAAAACACAUCCAAAUUCAUAGGAAUAAGUAUGAUAAUGACAGAAGCAUCACCACUAAAGGUUAGAAGCAGUGCAAUGGAAUCUUGUGCAUCCACCAUAGCCUUGCAAGACUUCAUUCCAUUCACCCUCUGAUCAAUUGCAAAUGAAAUAUAUUUUCUCUAGAGAAAGUUGUAAAAUUGAUCUCAAAUUUAUGAAUUCUACAUUACAUUCAAGCUCAGAGAACUCCCAGUUAAUCAUAUCCUGGACUGAGAUCAUUCUCAAUGAGAAUCUUAUUCAAAUUGUUGGCUAUUUCAGCUAAACCAAUGUUCCUAAAACCAACCAUAAUCUUUUUACAGGCAAGCAUAUCAAAAUCUGUGGUCGUGGAUUGCUUCCAUUGAUCAAUAAUUUCACUCACUUCUUUCGAAUGACCAAGUAUCAGAUAGGACGAAAUGAUACAGAUGUAAUUCCUGCUGAUCAUUUUCUGUUUGGUCAUUCUCAAGGAAUUCCAUAUCUGAUCAAGUUUAUCCUUACUUCCCAACCCACCAUAAAGAAUGAUCAAGAAGUCAUAAGUUAUCCAUUGCCCUUGUGUGAUCCUUUUCUCAGUCUCAACAAGUGUGUUGGAACUUGCAUUACCAAGAUGACCUACACUAAUAUACAUAUUGGCCAGGUUCAAAUAUCUGAUCCAACUUUCAUUAGAACCAGUACCAUGACUCAUUUCAUCAAGAAUCCUCCUAACCUCAUCAAUAUUAAGAAUAGCGGCACACGAACUUAUCCAUAGAUUAUAGGUAAAGAUAUCAGGGGAAACCUUUUGUUGUUUCAGUUCUUCAACAACCGAAGGGACCUUUUCAAACUGGCCCACUGACAUGUAAAGAGUCAUCAUUUCAUUGUAAGUAAGGGCAUCAAAGCAGAGGUUUGAAUCCUUUAUCCUUUGAUAAAGUUCCUCAGCCUUGUCAGUCAAUUUCGCUCCUGCAUAAGAAUGUAGGAGGGCUGUGUAAGUUUCAGUAGUCUUUGUCGCAAGAGGUAGACCCUCAAAAUAGCGCUCUGCAGCAUCAAUGCCAAAAACUUUGCACAUCAAAUCUAUGCGCACUGCAUAAUCAGAGUCUGAUAACUCGUAUUGCUCAUGGCUAACCAUCCAUUCUGAUAUCUGCAAUCAUCACUAGUCACAAAUUGCAAAGCUAUACACCCAAUAGAAAAUGAAUGCGGUAUCAUAAAUCAUCACCAUCAUAAUAAUAAUAACAAUAAUAAGUGUUCCAAAUUGGAUGCAAUCUAAUCACUAGAGAAGGAAAAAUAAAUAAAACUGGUAUGGCUGAGCAUUAGAAUUUGGAAGUAUUAGAAAUUGAUAGAGAUUUGUAGUUUGUUGGAGGAAAAACUAAUAUAUGAAAUUACGCAGAAUCAGAAAAGUCAGGAAUAAGUAACAUCCAAAUAAUAAUAUUAAUUCAGAUAUAUUCACUUCAGGAAACUUCUCGAGUUGUUAUAACCUCAUUUGCCAAAAGCCACAGUACUGAACAACAUUUUCAUUCCAACAAUUAUAGGCACUAUAGAAAUAAGUAAACCGAACUACCUAAUGAUCAUUCUUUCUUCUUCAGAACCUUACAAAAGCUACAAAUAAUUUAGUAAAUUACACUCACAUGCCUUACUACAGAAAUUCACACCAAAUUCUGGGGUAAUAGGGGUAUCAACGCAAUGGAUUUAAACCGAUUAAGAGGGGUUAUUGUCCGAAAAAAGACAGGAGUGUCGGUGUGAGUUUAAAAAACUCAGUGAUGUUAGCAUAAUUUACUCUUAAUAAUAACCAUUUGUGACUUGGAAAUUCAGCAUCAUGCUCUAAUCUGUUUAAACAGAAAUAAGACCCAAAAGCUUGCAUGAUUGGCUAGAUGACUUUUUACAGAUUUUUGUUUCUACUUCAUCCAAACCAUUUGUGAAAAUUUAAUUCACCAUGACAGAACUAUAUAAACUUUGCAGUACUUAGGUAGCUAAAAUGUUUUAAACUCGAAUCCUGUGUAUUGCUCUAAUUUAGCUAUCAUAAUGGAAAGAGGUUAUGAAUGAGAAAAGAAAGGGUGAAACCUCCAAAGCGUGUUUGUAACGUUGAGAUCUUCGAAGCUCUUUGGAAAUAUCCCGAAGCUGAGAGAGCGUAACAGUAUUCCCCUGAAGGACCCAUUUCUGAAGAAUGUUGGUGGCGCUUCGCUUGGGGAGCCUUAGCCUCAAGAUUAUGCUCCUUAGGUCAUCACCUUCCACACUCUCUUCCACUAAAUCACUGCUCACAACACCCGAAGACGCAAAUCUCGUUCUGUUCAGGACACAAGCUAAACCGCUACUUCUGCAUGAUGAAAAGAUGCAAUUUUGAGAUUAAUUACCCAUACCCAACAACUCAAAUAUGAUUGGUUGCAGAGAAAGUGUGGAACGUGGUUCUGAUCCGAGUCUGGGGGUCAGAAAAUCAAUUAAGAUGCAGAAUCAUAAAAAAAAAAAUUGCAAUUUUGGGUUCUGUUUUGUGGGGAAGCAGUAGGGGAAUGUGAAAAAUGGGCUUACCGUCUGAGAGAGAGGAAAAGUGAGCGUUGCGCCAUUGGCGGCGUUUCUCAGUUGCUCGCUUCUUCACCUCCUUCUUCUUCUUUCCAAGUACUAAGUCCUUAAUUAUGUGAAAUUUUUAUUUUAUAUAAAAAUUACUAAAAUUGGUGCAAAGCAUGUUUUGUAAACAUGAGUUAAAUUAAAAAUAAAAAUAUUACAAGAAUUAAAGUUGGACAAAAAAAUGUGUAAUCGGGGGUUGCUUAUUCUUUCACCUCCAUCAUCAAUUGUUCUAGUAGACCAAAUGUGAAAAUAUAUGUUUAUUUUUUCAGAAGAAGCUUUUAAAUUAUGUAAUCUGAAACAUACUUUAAAAAAUAUAUUUUAAAUUACAAAAUUUAAAAAUUAUUUCUAAUUCAAAAAAUAUUUUGAAUUAUGUAAUAUAAAAUGUAUUUUUAAAAAAAUUAGGAAAAAACUUAUAUAUUAUGGAAUUUAGAAUAUAUAUUUUUAAAAAAUAUUUCUGAAAAUUUACUAAUCUAAAAAAAUUUCACAGAUUAUAAAUUUAUUUUUAAAUUACGUAAUCUAAAAUAUAUUUAAGAAAAAUAAGUUUUAAAUUAUAUAAUUCAAAAUAUAAUUUUGUAUUAUAGAUUAACUAAUCUAAAACAUUUCACUAGAUUUAGGAACAUGUUUUUCUGAGUUUCCUAAUCAAAAAAUACACAAACAUCUCAAUUAAUAUCGAUUCAAAAAGUUACUGGAAUACAAAAUCUGAAAUAUAUAGAAAGCAAACAUCUACAACAAAACAAAACCUUCAAACAUUUUAACUUUUUUACAAAAGGAUAUUUUUGGAAUUAUGAAAUUUGUGGGGGUGCUGCAAUAACCUAUGAAAGGGUAGGAAGAAGCAACUAUAAUUGGGUUAUUAUUUUGGGCCUGAUGUGGAGUGGCCCAGCCCAGUGUAGAGGAGGAAGUGAGUCCUUUUAAUCAAAACCCUGGUUGAGAGUUUGCAGCCUCAGUCCUAAAACCCUACAUUCAGCAUGUCUCAGUCGGAGAGCAAGAAGAAGAAGGAGCGCGGCAGCGGCAAGGUGGUGGAAGAGGAACAAGCAGGCAAAGAUGAGGGGUUGAUGAUAAAGCCUCAGAGCUUCACUCCCCCAAUCGACACCUCCCAAUGGCCCAUUCUCCUCAAAAACUACGACCGCCUCAACGUCCGCACCGGCCACUACACCCCCAUCCCCUCCGGCUACUCCCCCCUCAAACGCCCCCUCGCCGAAUACCUCAAAUACGGCGUCAUCAACCUCGACAAGCCCGCCAACCCCUCCUCCCACGAGGUCGUCGCCUGGAUCAAGCGCCUCCUCCGCGUCGAGAAGACUGGUCACUCCGGUACCCUCGAUCCCAAGGUCACCGGCAAUCUCAUUGUCUGCAUCGACCGCGCCACCCGCCUUGUCAAGUCCCAGCAGGGUGCCGGCAAGGAAUACGUUUGCAUCGCCCGCCUCCACUCUGCCGUGCCCGACGUCUCCAAGGUCGCACGCGCCCUGGAGACCCUCACCGGCGCCGUCUUUCAGCGCCCGCCCUUGAUCUCCGCCGUCAAACGCCAGCUCCGCAUUCGGACCAUCUAUGAAAGUAAGCUCCUUGAGUAUGACCCUGAUAGGCACUUGGUUGUUUUCUGGAUUUCGUGUGAGGCUGGGACUUAUGUUAGGACUAUGUGUGUUCAUUUGGGGUUGCUUCUUGGUGUGGGUAGCCAUAUGCAAGAGCUUAGGAGGGUUCGGUCUGGGAUCAUGGGGGAGAAGGAUAACAUGGUGAGCAUGCAUGAUGUUAUGGAUGCUCAGUGGGUUUUUGAUAAUUUUAGGGAUGAGAGUUAUUUGAGAAGGGCUGUUAUGCCCUUGGAGGUUCUUUUGACUAGCUAUAAGAGGCUGGUUGUUAAGGACUCUGCUGUGAAUGCUAUUUGCUAUGGUGCUAAGUUGAUGAUUCCUGGGUUGCUUAGGUUUGAGAAUGAUAUUGAUGUUGGGGAGGAGGUUGUGCUUAUGACCACCAAGGGGGAGGCUAUUGCUCUUGGGAUUGCUGAGAUGACUACUGCUGUUAUGGCCACUUGUGAUCAUGGGGUUGUGGCCAAGAUCAAGAGGGUUGUCAUGGAUAGGGAUACUUAUCCAAGGAAAUGGGGGUUGGGUCCUAGGGCUUCCAUGAAAAAGAAGCUUAUUUCUCAAGGGAUGCUGGAUAAGCAUGGGAAGCCCAAUGAGAAGACCCCCCAGGAGUGGCUUAGGAAUCUUGUUUUGCCCACUGGUGGGGAUAGUGUGAUUGCUGGUAUGGCUGCUGCGCCUGAACCUGAGGAUGAGAAGGACGGAGAUGGCGAAGGACGGAAGAGGAAGAAGCAUGAGAGCACUGAUAGCCCAGUUUCGGUCCCUGCUAAGAAGGCGAAAGUAGAUGUAGAAGAGGUAGAUGUCAAGAAGGUGGCUGAUGAGACUGUGGAGGUUGAAGUUGACAAAAAAGAGAAGAAAAAGAAGAAGAAGAAGGACAAGGAUAACAGUGAAGUUGCCUCUUCAGAUGAGGAGAAAACUGAGAAGAAGAAGAAGCAUAAGGAUAAGGUUGAAGACGGUUCACCGGAGUUAGAAAAGUCUGAGAAGAAAAAGAAGAAGAAGAAAGACAAAGAAGCUGCUGCUGCUGAAAUUAGCAAUGGAAAGGAAGAUGAGAGUAAUGCUGAUAAGAGUGAAAAGAAGAAGCAUAAGAAAAAGAAAAACAAAGAUGCAGAGGAAGAAUAGAUUUGUGUUUGGCUAAAUGGACUCUUUAUGUAACGCCUAUUUUCUUGAUCUUUUAAAAUUUCGCGUUGGAUUAGUGUGUUGUUGGUCAAGAUUUUGGUAGUUUUUUAUAUGCUUUUUCUCUUAAUUUUUCCAUUUACUAUGUUUGUAUCAUCUUCUUUAGCGUUUAAUAGAUCUCCUACAAUUUCUCCAUAAUCCUUUGACAAAUUGACAUGUUUUUCUGCUCAGAUACAUAGCUUUUCCACAUACAUAAGCUGUGACGAAUUUGUUUAUGGAGAAUUUUGCAGUGUAUUUGCCCUGUUUCCUGCUGGAACAUGGUGCCAGCAUACAUGAGCAUUUCAGGUUCUUUGCGAACACACUUUAAAAAGGUCCUUUUGUUACUUUAUAAAUAAUAAAUAAUUUAGUUUUUAAAAAUUAAAUUAAUAUAGUAAUUCAAAGAUAGUAUUUUUUAAGAAAACAGUGUACUUUUUAUCAAUUUAUUUAUAAAUCUAGUGAUUUACUCAUUCUAAUUGCAAAUACAAUGGCAAUAAUAAACUGAGACGCGGGAACUUCAAAAGCAGAUAAAAGGGUGUGAACAUGAGGAAAUAUCAUAUUUAUAAUUCAAUCAUAAAAAUCAUAUUUCUAAUUCAAUCAUAAAAGGCUACGAAAUAGUUUUUAGUUUGUUCAAAUUUGUUUCGUCUGAAAACAUAUUCUCGAAAAGCCACAAGUAAUUUAGAACAAAAAGUAAACAUUACCAACAAAGUACUAUAAAAAGAAGAACUCGGAAUUGUUUGGUUUAGCGAAGGUAAGAGGAUAAGAUGGAUUUUAAUGAAGCGAAAAGGAAAAGAUGAGAGAGAUUUUAAUUCAUUGCUUAGCUCUGACGGGAGUGGAAAAAAAUUUAAAACAUAUCUUCUAAUUUUACAUUUCAAAAUGUAAAUAUGACUACUUUUGUUAAUACUUUUGAGUUGAGAUGUUCCGAAUCUUCUCCCCACCAAGACAACCAAUCACUUCUAAAUUUUACAUAAUUUAUCACUUUUAAAUUAUAUAAUCCGAAAUCUAUUUAACAACUCACAAUAUUGAAUUAUGUAAUCCAAAACUUAAUUAAGAAAAUAAAUCUAAGAAAGUAAAAAAAAAAAAAUUUAUUCGUAAUUUAUAACCUAUUUUAUUAAAUAAGUUUAAGAUUAUGUAAUUCAGUACUAUUAGUUGUUAAAUAGAUUCUGGAUUAUAUAACUUAGAGGCUCUAGGGUCUAGAGGGUCUAGGGACUAGAGGGUCUAGGGUCUAGAGGGUCUAGGGUAUAGAGGGUCUAGGGACUGGAGGGUCUAGAGGGUCUAGGGACUAGAGGGUCUAUGGACUAGAAGGUCUAGGGUCUAGAGGGUCUAGGGUCUAGAGGGUCUAGGGACUAGAGGGUCUAGGGUCUAGAGGGUCUAGGGUCUAGGGACUAGAGGGUCUAGGGUCUAGAGGGUCUAGGGACUAGAGGGUCUAGGGUAGAGGGUCUAGGGUCUAGAGGGUCUAGGGUCUAGAGGGUCUAGGGACUAGAGGGUCUGGGGUCUAGAGGGUCUGGCGUCUAGAGGGUCUGGGGUCUAGAGGGUCUACGGUCUAGAGGGUCUCGGGUUUAGGGGUAGAAUUUCAAAUUUCGUAUUCCGGUAGGUUUAUUAUUCAUAGUAUAAAAUAUUGUUUUUAUUUUUAUCUGUAUAUUGAAGGAUAAUUUUGAAAAUUUCAAAACUUUUGGGGAUAACUUAAAGAGGGAUGGAGGUGCAGGAAGAAGCAGUUCCAAUAAAAGGGUAGUUUUGGGCCUAGCCUACUAAUAGAGUGAAGACAUGCUUAGCCCACUAAUAGAGUGAAGAUAGACCUAAAAAAGAUGGUUUGAUCAUGGCAGAAUAACAAUUUGACUCGAAAUCACUAAUUUUAGUGAAACUAAAUAUUCUAAUUGGAGAUACUCCUCUUGAUUAUAACACUAGUUUUUUUUACUUUUUUUAAUAUUAAACCAAACAAUUGGAAAAGCUCUUCCACUAAACUCUGUUUCACUCGACCAAACCUCGGAACAAAAAGUCUUUACAAAUUCACCACCAAGAACCUAAAACAAGUUAGUCAAAGAAAAGGAAGUGAAGUUCACAUGGAGGAAUUAUUGAUCUUUAAAAUUUUAUGCACAGAUCCACGAAACCUUGUAUUCAUCUUCCAUCAAUUGCAAGUCAGGAUGAAUUUAAAACGAUUUGGAGCAGGAUUUCAUUGAUUUGUUAGAUCUUCAAUUCUACUUAUCUGCAUCACUGUGUGUUGACACUAGCAUCAGCACAAUUUCAUGUGAAGACGACACCAUCCAAGCAAAAUUCAACAUUACAUUUAUUUGCAACUUACAGAUUUACAUACACUUGAGUAUCACAUAAGUUGCCUCAUGCAGAAAUCAAAAAUUGAAGCUCUCACCUUGUAGAGAGUUACAUGUACAUUUUACUUGCCAAUUUAUCAAGUACUACUAAAAGCUUCUCAGAGAACCAUUUGGCUUCUUCUGAUUGCGACCGUACCAGGACAGAAGGUACUUCCCAUUGUAGGACUGUGACCUUUUCAUUGAAGAACUAGGAGCACCCUGCAGAUACCUAGUUAAUCUGAAAGAAGAGCUACCCUUGAAAGUGGUAGCCAAAUCGUUUCCAAAACCCCCCUUUGAAGAAGAACCAGCAUCAUCCAGCACCCUUUUUGAGCUACCAUUAGAUCCUACUGUGGCAAGAGCACGGUUGAUAUUUGCAACAGAAAAGGAAUCCAGAGAAACAGAUCUUCUAGGAAGAAUGUAGGGCACCUCUUCAACUGGGGUUUCAGUUUCACAAACCCUAACUCCAUCUUCACCCUCCACUCUGCCUUCUUCCUCUGCCCUGUUCCCCAAUUCAGAAUCAGAAGCACUAUUUUCCAAAAUUUCCACAUGGCUAUCUCCAAAGGAUUCUGAAUCAAGAAAAGUAGAGUCCAACCUAGCAGUUGCAAGGUCAGAAACAAUGGGGGCCCGGCAUAUGGGACAAUUGGUAUGAGACCUAAGCCAUGUAUCAAUACAAGGUAAAUGAAAAGCAUGGUAGCAUUUAGGCAAAAGUCUGAGAUUCUCAUCCUCUUCAAACUCGCUCAAGCAAACAGCACACUCGGUUCCUUCGAUCAAGCCCUCACCUUUCUUAUACCUACAAACUGUGAUGGCACUGAUAAUCGAUUGCUGAAGGCCAAGGGUGCGGAUAUACCAUAUGGGGUGGUCCACCAUAGCUCCGUGCUCUUCAUCAACAAAAUCACCACCACCUCUGCUCUCCGGUUGGUGCCUCGAUGGCACCCUCCUCCUUGAGCUGAACCUGGUGUAGAUGGUGCGACAACAAACAACAAAGAAAGCAAUUGUUAGAAUCGCAAGAGCAAGGAACAAAUAGGUGGCUAUUCUGUGGCUGCUGGAUUCAUCUACGCCGCCGUUAUCUAGAUUGAAAGGCGGAAGUUGUGGCGGCGGCGGCGGCGCCGCCGGAGGAGAAUCAUAAUUAGGGUAUUGGGGAUUGGUGAGGCAGAUCCUGAGGCAAAUUUCGCAAUCUGGUGAACAAGCCUCAGACUUCUUGACAUGACAAAGUGAGGCACAGAGUUGUGGCAAUGGCGUCAUCAAGUUUGUGAGAUGACGCAGACCCAUUUGAUAGAUCGGGAAGAAAAGAAGAGGUGAAAUCAGCAUCAGAAUUCAGAGUGAAGAAGAAGAAGAAGAAGAUAAUGAUCAUGACAUCAAGUCUCAAACUUUGACUUCAAACCAUCCAUCACAGUUUUGUCUCUCAAGAUGUUCACAUCCUACUGGUAGCAGUUGCAUUCAAUAAUAAAAUUAUAAUAAAAUUAUGCCAUCACACACUUUUUUUUUAAUUAAUUCAAAUUAUAAAAUAAAAUAUAUUCAUUCAUUGAAUUGUAAAAUUGACCAUUUUUUUCUAUUUUAGAUUUUAUAUUGAAUUGUAAAAUUUAUGAGAAAUUUUUAUCACAACCUGCUACAUAAUAAUUGAAUAUUGUAAGUUUUUAUUAAUAAUGAAAAAAAAAUAUUAAAAAUGUUAUGAUAUAAGCAUUAAUGUAAUUUAAUCUUUUAUGGUGGUUUAAUUUUAUAAUAAAUAACGUAUUGAAUAGAGUUGACUAAUUAACUGAAAUUAAGGCCACGCAUUUACUUUUCUAACGUUCACCACUCGUGGGUCGGCCAGCUUUAACUUUCAAAAAAUGUUUGUUUUAUAUUAUAAUAAAUAUAAAAUGAAAUUAAAAGGUCAAACUUUUACUUUUAAAAAAUAAUUAAUUUAUUAAAUAGUAUUUAGUAUUGAGAUUAUAGAAAUCUUUUUCCGUUAGCCAAAAAUAAACGUUAAAUUUUAUGAGUUGAAUGUAAAAAAAAAAAAUCUAAAAAUAUAUACAUAAACGAAAAAACAAAGUUUGGUUCUUUGUGUGAUGAUUCCGAGUGUUGGGUUUUUGUUGAAAGUUGGAUUUCAUUUUCAUGACGUUAAAGGUCAAUAAAAUAUUCAAAUCUCAACAAAAAAUGCUUAAAGACUAUGAAAGGUACAUGUGAAGUUAAUUGUAUUUUUGAACUGGUAUUUAAAUGAUUUUUUUUUUAUAGAAUAAGAAGUAUAUUUGGUAAAGAUUUUUUUUUGACGAAAUGAAAAUUUUAUUAAAUUCCUGUAAAUCCUUAAUUUUAGAUAUAUUUGUUUUAAUUUUUUUAUUUGAUGUUGUUUUGAUUUAUGAGAUUUCUAUAUUCUAAUAUGUUGUUAUUUAUCAGAUGGUUUCUUUCAAUUUGAUUGAAUUAAAACAAUAAUGAUUUGAGUUAUAUAUGCGACAGCACUUGUUUAUAUUGAAAAAUUGUUUGUUUUUAUUUAAUUAAAAUCAAAUAAAAUUGCCCCUUCCCUUCAUCUCAUAAUAAAUAUCACUUAAAACAUAAAAUAUUUCAUAUUAAAUGGUGUUUAAGUUUUUAAAGAAACAUUAAAUUCUUUUAUUGUAAUUUAUUCCCCGAUAAAUAUAAUGACAUGGUGAUUUGCAUGUAUUGUCUUGAGGAAAAGUCUGGUCAGAAGUGAUUUUUCAAAAAAAAAAAAAUAAUAUAAAAAUAUUUUUCUUGUUUUCAGAAAUAUAUUUUAUUUUUCAUUCAAAUUUAAGGAGAAAAAUAUUUUUUUUUAUUAAUAUAUUUUUCAUUUUUUAAUAUGAUAUUAUUUAUUAAUUUAAGUAACUCAAUAUUUUUAAAAAUUACAAUUUUAUAAUAAAAAAUAUUUCGUAAUUAUGUUUCAAAGUAUAAAUAUACUGAAAAAGAAAUCUUAAUUUGAAGGAAUGUAUUAAUUUAAAAAAUAUUUUAUUUACAAAAAAAAUAAGUAAUAAAUAUAUGAGUAAUUUUCUAAUCAUAUAAUUACUUAACAUUAAUUAAUUUAUUAUUUUUUUAAAAUAAUAAUUUUCCUUUAUUUUUAUACUACUCUUAUUCUCAAAUCAAUAUAGUAAAUUUUUCAUUCUAUUUCUUUACUUUCUUUUCUCACAUUUUAUUUCUUUUUCCUUCAUUGUAAAUGAAAAGUGUUAGAGGUAAUUCAAUAAAAAUUACUCCACUCAUUAAGUUAUUUAUUAAUUUACAGUAUUGAGAAAAACAACUUUAACAUAACUUAUUUUUAAGUUGAAUAAUAUUUUAUAUAUAACGGGGUUAGCACAAUUAUCAAAGAUGAUAAAAUAAGUUGUAGUCCGAGUUAGUGAAUAAUGAAGAUUUUAACACUUUAAUUAAACUUAAUUUGUUUUAAUAAUCAUAUUGUUGUCCUAUUCAGGUCUCAUAAUUCGGUAACAUUCCUAAUUUUGGAAGGAAAGCUAAAAUUCAUUCAUUUUCAAAUCACUAUAACUAUUUUAAAUUAACUAUUGAUUAAAAAUUGUGUAUUUUUAAAAUUUGAUGUCUAAAGAUAUAAAAACAUAUCAUAAUAUAUAACUAGAUAAUAUAUAAACAUUAUCUUAAGUUAAAGUUAUAAUAUUGAGUUAAGUUUAAAUUUCACACUAAUAUUAGAACAUAUUCUAUGUUCUAUAUUCUAACAUAUAUCAAAUUAUAAAUAUAUAGAGAGUAUCUCUUACAAAUUGGAAAAUUUUGAAAGGUAAAAAUAUUUUCAUUUGGUCUUAAUUUCAAAUCUCAUUUAAGUAAAAAAUUAUUAGUUUAUUUGAACGGUGCAGAAGUAGUUUUGGUGUAGAAAAAUGUGACAUUUGUCUGAAGAUAAUAACGAAAUCCUUUGCAUGAACGAAGGGGUAAAUAAUUAAAUGUGUGUGUAGAAGAAACAAAAAGGAAAAGGAAGAAAACAAAAGAAAAGAAAAAAAAAAGAAGUGUCUUAAGGAAUGGUUGUUUGGUUGCGACCAAAAGACUUGAAUUUGAGUCUUCUUUUGUCCUCUCUCGUUAACCAAUUACAAUGGACUCUUACAAAAUAUGAUGUUUCACUGAAAAUGAUAUCUUAAUAUAAAAAUAUCAUUUCUAGAGUACUUCAAUUUUUAUUUUCAAUUCUUGGUAUAUAAAAGAGAAAUUACAAAAUAAUUAAUUAAUACACUAAUGUAAAAAACACAACAUAUAAUAUUUAUAAGAAGAGAGUUAAUAUGAAUUUAAUUUUAACCCUAAAUAAAACUUAAUACAAGUUAUUAAUUGGACCAAUAUAUUAUAACUAAAUUUUACCACGUUUAUAAUUUUAUUACAAUUAUAUUACUGCCUCAUUUACUAUAACUGAUAAAUUAAAACUGUUAUAGUAACUUGUCAUCAAAUAUAAUUUUUCUAUUAAUAAUAGUUUAAGAUAAUAUAAAAUAUUAUGAUUAAUUAAUUAUUACAUGAAAAAUUAUAAUAAAAAAACACAAACUGAACAAUGAAAACUUCAAUUUAUGGUAUAAAACUCAUUUUACUGAUAGAAAUAUUUUGACUAGUUAAAAACUAGUACAAUAUAUGGUGUUGUUAAUUAAAGUCGUGAUAGUUCAAAUCUUCAUUGAUUAAAACUGAGAUAUUAAUAAUAUUUGUUGAUAACAAAACGUAUAUUAUUAGAUAGUUAUGAUUUUUUUAUAAUUUUUUUUUAAUUUGAUUUAUAAAAGUGAUUAAUAUAUUUUUGUGAUUUUAACAUGUAAUAGUAGUUGAAUGGUGAACAGUUUAAUGUAUACUAUUGAUAAAUCGUUGAAUAGAUAAAACUAAUAUAAAAAUCGCAAAAUAGGUAAAAAAAAA
rnacentral:lncRNA from 1 species